GAAAAGGGUUUAGUUGUGCGGUGGUCGACGGCGUGGGUUACUUCGGUGGCGGAGUUCGAUCCACGGUGGAAGGAAAAAGAAGAGUGAGGUUGUUUAGAUCGCAGUCAGCUUGGUAGAUGGCGUUGAAGGGAAUUCGCGGCGGCCAUGGCGGUUAGCCGGAAGUUGUUGAAGGAUGUUAAGGGCGGAGAAUUCGAGACGUACGGUGGAGUGUGUAUGUUAUGGUGGUGUUUGUUGGAAGGUUUGAGUUUAUGAAGAAGAAGAGGAUUUGAAGGAAUUGAGUGGGUAAGGGUGUGACGGCAGUGCGUUUUUUCAAGGGGAAGAAGAAGGUGGAUUUCAGUGUUUUGUGUGUGUGACGUUUGGGAGCAGAAGAAGUAUUCCUCCCUUUUUGUUUUUUUCUGUCCCAUGAGUCCCCUUUUUCUUGAGACAGAGUGGUGAUCCCCACGUGAAGAAGAAAUCUCUUUGUUUCCCCUUUUUCCCCGUUAGCCAGCUGUUCCUCCAUUAAUAAAAUCCCAUUUUUGUUCUUAUCCCAUCUCUCCCAAUAACAUGAUGCCACGUUUCAUGUUGAGAGUAUGGAUAAAAAAUCUUCUCAAAUGCAAGCUGUCAAACGUGUAUCUUUCACAAGUAUACAACUUUAUUUUUAAUUUUUAAUUUUUAAUGUUAAUAUUAAUAUUAUUUGAUUUUUCAUGAUUAAUAUUAUUAUUAAUUGAUUUUUGAUUGGAUAAUGGAAUAUGAUAACGAUUGCAAAUGAGAUCCGUGGAUUAAUUUGUAUCAACGAUCCUGAUUAAUCCAAAGAAGCACAAGCAAUUUUAAAAUGUCCGAUAUGUCCCUUUUAUAUGAUUUUAAUUGAUUUAAAAUAAUUUAAAUCAUCAAAUCAAAUUAAAUUCGCAUCUUUCUAAAUACAUACGAUAAAAAUAAAAUGAGAAUACGAAAAAUUCUAUUUAUUUCUUUUGAACAUUUUGGCGAAAGAAUAAAAAUAAAAUGACUAAAAAUUAAUAAAAGUCGGACGAAAAUUUGUUUAAAAAAUUAAAUCGGACGCACUAAAAUGAUCAGCGCGAAAUAUACUUAUUGAAAAAAUACAUCAUUUCUUUUAAUUUUGAAAUAAAUUUUGACCGAUUGAAAGGCUUAGACGGAUCAAAAUGCGAUUGAAAAAGUCGUCGAAAAAUAUAACGAGCACACCAUGUUAAACUACGCAGACCAUAGAUUAAUAAUACUGGCGUAUGCAAGUUUAAUUUUGAAACUUUUUACACGCUGAUUUUGCACGUACUUGAGAAAUGAUUUAACCAAUUUGUCUAUAUUUUCAAUAAUUUAUUUCGACCGAUAUUUUAAGUAUUAUUCAUGAUGAAAUGCAUGUUAUGCUGUACAACUGAUGCAAAUUAAAAAUGAAAUCAAGUUUAUGAAAAAUUUAAAAUGUCUGGACAAAAUUGGGGUAUGACAGCUGCCCCUAUUUAGUUACCUUGAUCCGGAAAGUAAGAAUUACAGCAGUGUCCGUAAAUUCGUGGUGGAAGGUAAUUAAAUACGAAAAGACCCAAAUUUUGUCCUUUGAAAUGUGAUGGAGAAAUGUAGAAAGAAAAUGUAACGAAUCCUAACGACAUCCAGGGUAUUAGGGGUAGAAUAUCCGAUCAAUGCCAACCCUCGAGUCGACAUUUAAAUCUUGCAAAGGUCGUUAUUGAUAUGAGGACAAACCUGAGCAGGUUUUCUGGCACCAAAAGGAUGACAAUAGAAUUAAUUGCCAUCACCAAAAGGGUGAUAGUAAUUCACCAUGAUUUCCGGGAUCGUCAUCACCAAAAGGAUGAUGGAAUACCAAGCUUCAAAGGUAGUCAUCACCAAAAGGAUGAUGGUUAUCCUGAUAAAGCUUUCCAUUACCGAGGGGGUAAUAUUAAGACUAUCAUCAAAAGGACGAUAGUUAACUCAUCAACUUCAAAGAUCACCGUCACCAAAAGGAUGAAAGUAAGUUCAACGACAAAACUUAUUAUCACCAAAAGGAUGAUGCUAAGUCACGGCAACUUCAUUGGAUCACCAUCACCAAAAGGAUGAAGGUAACAUUAACAACAAAACUUGUUAUCACCAAAAGGAUGAUAAAAAGUCAACAAUCACCAUCACCAAAAGGAUGAAGGUACUACCAAACAACAGAACUUGUUACCACCAAAAGGAUGAUAAUAAGUCAACAAUAUUAAUGAUCACCAGUAUCCAAAGGAUGAAGGUAAGAUCAACAACGAAACUUGUUAUCACCAAAAGGAUGAUAAUAAGUCACAAACUUCAAAUGAUCACCAUCACCAAAAGGGUGAAGGUAAGAUCAAAUAACAGAACUUGUUACCACCAAAAGGAUGAUAACAAGUCAUCAACCACCAUCACCAAAAGGAUGAAGGUAAAAACAAACAACAAAGCUUGUUACCCUCAAAAGGAUGAUAAUAAGUCAACAACUCAAAUAAUCACCAUCACCAAAAGGAUGAAGGUAAGAUUAAUAACAAGACUUGUUACCACCAAAAGGAUGAUAAUGAGUCACAAUCACCAUCACCAAAAGGAUGAAGGUAUUAUUGAACAACAAAACUCGUUAUCACCAAAAUGAUGAUAAUAAGUUACAACAACUUAAAUGAUCACCAUCACCGAAAGGAUGAAGGUAAGAUCAGAACAAAACUUGUUACCACCAAAAGGAUGAUAGUAAGUCGAGACAAACUUUAAUGAUCGCCAUCACCAAAAGGAUGAAGGUAAGAUCAAAUGACAAAACUUAUUACCACCAAAAGGAUGAUAAUAAGUCAAAAACUUCACAUGAUCACCAUCACCAAAAGGAUGAAGGUAUGAUCAACAACAAAACUUGUUACCUCCAAAAGGAUGAUAAUAAGUCACAAACUUCAAAUGAUCACCAUCACCAAAAGGAUGAAGGUAUGAUCAACAACAAAACUUAUUACCACCAAAAGGAUGACAAUAAUCUUUAAUAAUGAGAGGUCUCCAUUCACCAAAAGGAUGAAGGUUGGACCCAAAACUUCAAGGAUCUUCGACACCAAAAGGAUGACGGUAAGAUCACAAAUGUCAAGGGUUUACCAUUACCAAAAGGAUAACGGUUAUCAUAAACAAGGAGAUGAUUAAUAUUAUUCCUCAAUGAACUUUCACCAAAAGAAUGAUAGUGAGAAAAAUAUUUGGAAUAAUAAAGCUACUGACAAAGUUCAAUAAACCCGACUUGUUGGGUAGUAUUAGAACGUUACUGGGUAAGACUUGCUUGGGGUAUCGACAAUAAAAGGUUGCAGAAAAAUAUUCUCUGGAAAACAUAAUUUCCAUCAACAAAAGGUUAAAAGAAACAUCUCAUCGAGGAACGCUCAAUGAGAAACAAGGUAGGGGUUUGAAGAAAAAUUGUUCGACUUAGAUGAGGGUAACACCUUAUUAACAAAAGGUUAGAGGAUGUAAAUCAACGGGGAACACCCAACAAUACAAGGUAAGAACUCACUCAGAGAAAAUAAUAAAUGACUCAACUGAGGGUUGGCCUGGACACCUACGACUAAACCUUGGAUCUUGAUUCGUGCUAUAUGCAUGAAUGUUAUGUAUGCGUUAUGUAUGAGAUGAUGUAUGCAGUGCAUGUUUGAAUGUAAAGGAUGAUUGGUUUGUUUAGAAUUGGUCCCCCCUUUUCAAAGGAGAUGUAUUUUCUGGAAACAAAUACUGGUUGUAUUUGUUUUUGUGUGGGUUCCAACAAGGUGGACUUUGGGUUUUUUGGUAAUUGCCAAUAUGAGUUUGAUUGUUGGUGGGUGAAAGGAUCUGACUUCCCGACACUUGGUAGUUUAUGAUCUGAUGAACACGCAAUGGAUGUGGAUACGCUCGAUGCCCUAAGUUUGAUUUCUUGCUGUUAUGUUGUGUCUUUGCCCCUGAGGGGAACUCGACUUCUUCUUCUGAGAUGUUGGGUCAGCUUGUAACCGAGCAUAGUGACAUGAUCAACGCAUGAUGAUUAUGCUUUUGACGUGCCGCAAGGUUUCUUGUCAAGAUGUGAUAUUGUACCGGUAUGAAGUUUUGACAUUUUGGUUGUGAUCUUAGACAGUUUCUAGUGUCUGACACAAUCUGCCUGACCGACUUGAAGAUAUGAAGUGAAUUUUCCCCUUGCAACUUGUCUUGCCCAGUCUGUAGGGUGUUCAAAGGAAUUAUCCUUGAAAGGAAACCCUUAGGAGUGAUUAUCCCAUGACAUGGUCUGAGUCUGUUUCCUCCAACGUUUGUCUCUUGUGGUGGGAUAAACACAGAAAUGGAUAACAAAUGGUUUUGAACUCGGCAUUCAUGUCGUGUGAUUUUCUCUCUUCUUCUUUUUUUCUCGUGCAUAACUCAUAGCUUUGGGGGUUUAUCCACUUUUGGCUCUUUUCAACUCAAUUCUUUGUGAGCAUUUUAAAGGUGUUAGAGUCUUAAGUCUCGGCAAGUGCAUUUUCUUUUUUUUUUUUUCUUUUUGGACAUACACAUGUCUCUACUUUUUGUAUUGCUUUUAGAUCUCUUAUUAUGCACUUGCCCUUUCUUUCAAGAUUACCACCCCAAACUUAGCUUUUUGCACAUCUUGUAACUCACAACAAUCAUGCCGAGUGAUGGGAUGAAAUGAACGAUUAAUGGUCAACAUGGGGUUUAUUACGAACAAAAUGGCUAAGGCUCAACGGGGUUCACGAAGGGUAAACAUAUAAACAUGGAUGGCUAGAAAGGCUCUGGAUUAAACAAACAACUUGCCUCAGUGCGUGUUGUCAUGCUGUGAAGUGUCAAAAGAACAUACGCAAAAUCAGAGUGAUAGAGUCAUACCUGGCUGAACUCUCAUGAUAUUUAGUGUUUGGCCUUUUUAUUCUCACCAUGUUGGUUAAACUUACAAGCUCUGAAGCCUCCUAGUGUCAUGUGGUUUCUUUUCUGAUUCGGUUCUACCAUACCGCUCUCUUGGUCCAGUGUCACCAAAUUGUGUCCGACUUUUACUUUCUCAUGGUUGCAUCAACUUCCGGGGUACCUUAAUAGAACAAGUAUGAGGGGUGUCUUUCAUCCACUACAACCGAUCCCGGAUUCGUCCACAAUUUCUCAUCACUCUGUACACACCGAUAAACAAUAAAAACAAACGUUGAAGGAAAACAUGAACAAAAUGAAAACGAAAUAAAACAUGAAAGGAAAACCCCUCCCCCCCCCCACACCUGAACUAAACAUUGACCUCAAUGUUUAAAUCCAGAUACAAAGGGGACUCACAGCGACUACUGUUGUUUUACUGCACUUGUGUGGUUUCCUUCCAUUUUGAGGUGUUUGUGACUUUAUUAAAUCCAGAUACAAAGGGGACUCACAGCGACUACUGUUGUUUUACUGCACUUGUGUGGUUUCCUUCCAUUUUGAGGUGUUUGUGACUUUGCCCUUCUAAUUCUCCUCCUCCCCUACAACAAAAUUCUAGCACACAAAAAGAAAAAGAAAAACGAAAUAAAUUAGAAAUCAAACGCGUGGGUUGCCUCCCACGAAGCGCUUCCUUUAACGUCGCAUGGCUCGACGGUUCAUUUCCCUUAUCAUGGGGGGUAUUUCAGGUUCAAAACCUUGUUGCACCUCUUGUCUCUAACUCGGACGUUGUCUCUUUUAUCAGUGUUGACUCCUUUGCACCACGUUCCUUUUUAACCUUCCUUUCGAUGUUAGGAAUCUUCCCGUUUAGGGUGGCUACUGGCAGUGGUGAGACUUUGAUAGUAUUCAAUGUCCUGAUUAAGCCUACUUGAUACUGAGAUUUUGUAUCUUCCUCCAUAUCCUGGUCUUCAAUAGCUUUCAAUGUUAUUUCCUUGUUGUGAACUUUCAAGGUUAACGUGCACUCAUCCAUGUCGAGCUCGCAUCGACUCGUCUUCAUGAAAGGUCUACCCAGAAUGAUGGGUGCCUCAUUGUCUUCAGGUAUGUCUAGGAUUACAAAAUCGACUGGGAAAGUCAAGUCCGCUAUUGUUACCAACACAUCUUCAACCAUACCAUACGCAUCUUUUCUUGAGUGAUCCGCAAACUUCAGAUUGGUCUUUAUAUCACUGAUAUUUCUAAUACCCAGCCUGUGAUAGAUCGAUAAUGGCAUCAGAUUCAUACUAGCUCCAUAACCUAUUAGUACCUUUUUGAAGGUUCUUUCUUUGAUUGUGCAUGGUACUGUGACGGUUCCUGGAUCCUUUUAUUUGUUAGGAAUGUUCUGCUCCAGGGAGUUUGCAUUAUAUUGUUCCUUACCGGAUACCUGUUCUUCAGUGGUUGGUUUCUUUUCAGCCAUUACCUCUUCCACGAAUUUCUUGUACAUGGGCAUCCUUUCAAGUGGUUCAAACAAAGCCAUAUGACCCUCAAUCCUUUUAAACAUUGUCAUGAAUUUCUCCAAGUCUGACUCACUAGGUUCCUUCUUUGUCAUUCUCUGAGGGUAGGCAACUUAAUCACCGGUUUAGUUCCUUUUGUAGUUUCUUCUUGAGUCGGCUCUCUCGGUGAUGUAAUUUUUUCUUUUUAGCAGCCUUUUUCUCUGUCGUCGUGACAGUAUUAAACAUCUCUGACCUCUCGGAUUUUGAACUGUUUCACUUGGUAGGGAACCUGGUGUUCGAGAACUUGCCAGUUGCUGGGCUAUCUGCCCCAGCUGAACUUCGAGAUUCUUUAGGGAUGCGGCGAUGUUUUUCUGAUUGUUUCUAGUCUCUUCUUCAAAUUGCCCAUUUUGAGCUGCCGUCUUUUCAAUUGCAAUCUCCCAAUCUGCCUUCUUUGGGACUUGAUUUUGCUGUUGCUGAUAUUGGUUUUGAUAUUGGCCUUGUACUUGCUGUUGCACAUUCCCUUUCUGAUCCCUCCAUGCAAAGUUUGGAUGAUUCUUCCACCCCGGGUUGUAUGUGUUGGAGUAGGGAUUGUUUUGCUUUAAAAACUUGAUAUCUUCUAUCUGUUGCGGUGUUGCAAAGCAAUGAACAGUAUUGUGUGGUCCAUUACAAAUGCCACACACAUCGUUAGGUGCCUGUUGUACUUGAGCCACUUUCUGCGCACCUAUGUUUAGUGCCUUCAACCUUUUCUCCACCUCUGCAACAACUGCUUCUUCAAUUUUUACCUGUUUGUUUAUUUUAAGCUUCAAAUCAAUUACUGCAGAUUUGCUUGACACCCUAUCAUACAACUCCAGAUGCUCAUUUGAGGAAAUUGCUUCAAUUAUCUUCUUCAUACCGGUGGCUGUUGCAAAGUUAGCUGAGCCACCAGCUGUUGAGUCAAGGAUUUGUCUCGUUUGAAUUCGAAGACCAUUAACAAACAUUUGCAUCUGCUCAGUUUCAUCCAUGUUGUGAGUAGGACAAGCCACUAGGAUUCUCUUGAAUCUUUUAUAGGCAUCUCCUAUCGUUUGAAUUCGAAGACCAUUAACAAACAUUUGCAUCUGCUCAGUUUCAUCCAUGUUGUGAGUAGGACAAGCCACUAGGAUUCUCUUGAAUCUUUUAUAGGCAUCUCCUAGUGACUCACCCUCCUUUUGCUUGAAGUUUAGGAUCUCCUAUCUUUUUCUCAGUGACAUAGAUGCGGGAAAAUAUUCCUGCAAGAAUGUUGUUUCCAUCUGCUCCCAUGUAGUGAUACUGCCAGCCGGUAAGGAAUAGAAUCACUCUUCGGCUUCAUCUGCUAAAGUGAAUGGGAACAUACGAAGCCUUAUUGCUUCUUCGUUAUGUCCAGGCAUUUUCAGCGUUGUGCUCAUAGUUAAAAAUCUUUGCGGAUGCUUGUUGGCAUCUUCAUUCACUCUUCCAGAAAAGGACCGCCUUUCGAGUUGAUUAAUUAUGCUGGGAUGCAAUUGAAAUUGUUUUACAUUAACCGGGUGGUUUACAAUUGUCAUCCGACCACCCGGAGUGUUGGUUCCACCAUUGUCACCGAGAAGUCUCUCGGGUGGUGGUGGUGGUGGUGGGUUUGCAGCCAUGAUUUCAGGAACUAUUUCCGCGUCUGAAUCUGAAUUCUCUGAGUGCACUGAAACAACUUCCUCCUCUGCUUUCUUUGCUAAUUCCAGUUUUUCUCUCUUAGCUUGUCUUAGUCUAGCACGAAGAGUUCUUUCUGGAUCUGCGUCAAAAGAAAAAUCCGCUGAGGCCUUACCUCGCAUAAACAAGUUAGACAAAUAUUAGAAUUGAAUAACAAGAUUGUCACAGAUAAAAUUUUGGUUGACGAGCAGAUAUAAAUUCACAAAACCAACCAAACCCUUGUCUUUUUGUUCAAAUAGAAUCAGAAGUAAAAUAAGUAUUUCCCCCGCAAUCCCUGAGAUCGAUACUUGGAAAUAAAAUCCUAUUACAUCAAUCGCGUAAAAAAGUACACUUGCUAAUUCCGAUCAAGUUUUUGGCGCCGUGUCGGGUAAUGCCAAAUAAAACCUAUUUUAAUUUUUAAUUCUUAUUAUGAAAUUUUACAAAAAAAGUUGCUCAGCAAACCAAAAAAUAUUUAUAUGCCUGUAGUGACACACAUCUUAUCAAUCUAAUAUUGAUACGCCAAAAUUAAACAAUUGUUUAUGCGAGACAGUAAGCCUCAAGCGGAUUUUCUUUUAUGACGACAAUCCACGAAAGAACUACUUCGUGCUAGCACUAGAGACAAGCAAACGGAGAAGAAAAACAAUGGAAUAGCAAAGAAAGGCAGAGGAGGAGGAAAGAUUGUUUCAGUGCAACUCAGGAGAAUUCCGAUUCAGACGCGGAAAAUAAAUACAAAAAUCGUUCCUCGACAAUAUCAAAUGGCAAUGCAAAACACCCACACCACACAACAACAACACUCCAAACCACACCACACACCUGAGAAAAAAACUUAUCGAACCAAGAUAACAAGAUUGAGUGGAAAACCAAACCACUCCGGGUAGUGGACGAUGACAAAAUGUGAAACACCCAGGUAUGAUUAAAAACACAUUAAAUUACAAUUGUACCCAGCAAUAAUUAAAAUGCAAACUCGAAAAGAACGACACGUUCAUUUAUAUAAAUCUGGAAAGAUAAAAAAAGAUACAGCGAGUAAACAACAAAACAUUGUUGAAUGAAAAAAUGGUAGGAACCACAAACAAAAGAAAAAAGCAAACAAAAAAUACAAACCAACGAGGACAAAAAAACAAAAAAAGAAGAAAAGAGAAUAAAGAGAAAUAAUUACUUAACUCAUGAGCCAACAACGGCUUGAGAAAAUGCCCUGAACCAUAACGAAGAAGCAAUUAAGGAGUUCGCUAGUCCAUUACUCUUAGCAGAUGAAAGUCACGAAGGAGGUGAUAUACAUCAUCAAACUUAAAGCCGAAAAAAAGUGCUCGGCCAAAGAAUCAACCACAUCGGAGCAAGAGUGGAACUAUAAAACACAACAUUCUUGCAGGAAUAAUUAGUCGACAUAUAUAGAGUCCACUAGGAGAAAAAAAAAGAAAUAAAAAAAAAAAGAACCAAAGCAAUUAAAAUAGCAAAAACAGCAGCCUGGGCAUUGUUACAGGAAGCAUCAAUCAAAUAAACCAACACAAAACACGAAAUUCAAAUUUCUGGAAAAAUUAAAAACAUGUAAGCUACAUUGAACAAGCCAGGGUUCUAUGGUUUUUUUAGAAAACAACAGCCAUAACAACCACAUCAUCAUUCAAAACAGCAACCAAAAACAACAGCAUUACAAAAUAUGCUAUUUCGACAGUGGAAUUCUCUUUCUGAAAGACAUGACUGAUUUGGCAACUAACAUAACCAGCUGCAUUCAUCAUCCUUCUACUAAUGUUAACCUACAUCAAUCAUAUAACAAGAUUUCAGAAUAGAGAAAGGCCCUAGUUCACAGAGGUGAACAUUCCCUCCCUCUCUUGGCAACCUAAGACAAGAGUCCUCUCCGUUUCACUACCUCCUGCCGAUUCCCCGGUUGUUCCCCCCCCCCCCCUCCCCCCGUUGUUGAGAGCAGAUUACCUCCUUGUGAAGUUUUAGCACUCUCCGCACAUUCUUCCUUUUUUCUCCAUGACCCCAUAGAGCGGGGACCAUCUCCUCCGCAAGCGGCACCCCCCCAUAAGCCAAAACCAAACACAAACAACCAAAUUCGGAGCCCAAGUAUGCUGGGCUAUUGUUAUUUGUUCAAACAACAGCAAAGCAAUCAUGUUCAUCAUGCAAUCAAACAGUCGAUCACAAUUGAAACUCAAACUAGCAGUGGGCGUAGCAAACAUGGGCAUUUGGUACAAGUUUGUUCAUGCCAACAUCACUUCACUCACACAAUCUGUCCCAAAAGUCUAAUUAAUUGUUUAACAACAGACAAGCAUAAGGCAAAGGAAAUUCCUGAUGAUGGCGCAGAGCUAAUAUUAUGAACCACAACCCAAACAGGUUAAUUAGCGAAUAUCAGAGAAUUCCUACAUCUCGCAUGGCUUCUCUCAAUUAUACAUCAUAACAAGUGUCGUGGAGCAAUAGGAAACCACAAUCAACCCAAAAUGGCCGUUAGCAUUGUGGCUUCGUCGCUAUUAAUGGAACAUCACAGGCCUUAGCAACAUCAACAACAACCAAAUUCUACAAACAUAUAGACACGUGUGGUGCAUCAUANUGGUUGGUUUUGUGAAUUUAUAAUAAUAAACACAAAAAGAUAGUAGAAAUAAUUGAUUAAGAUAAAAUAUGCUAGGGUGAGUGGUUGAUUUAACCAGUUAUGAAUUCAGUCAAGAUUUCCUUAAUACACAUGAAACAUUCAAUUACCUAACCGCAUAAUGUUCUUCCUUAAGUCCUUAAGGAAGAAACUAUUAAACUACCAAUUCUUACUCAAAUGUCCAUUCAAUUAAUCAUUGGUUUUAAUCAUAAACAAUAUCAAGGUUUAUGGUGAUUCACAAAUGUUCCUAGUCCUAGGUGAUGCAAUUAUAAACCCAAUUGUGUGAAAACACUAACAAUCACAAUCCUGUUAUUGAUAGUCAUAGAUCUAUUUGUAUUUGUCUGAUACAAAAGCAUAAGCACAUCAGACAAUUGAAUUGAAAUUCGUAACAUAGUAAUAAGGAAAUCCAUAGAUAGAAUUCAUAACAUCAGACCAAAUCAGGACCACCCCCCUAGCAUUGGGGGUUUAGCCUCUCAUAGUAUUCAAAGAAAUCAUAGUAUAGAAAUUAAACAUUACAAAGAAUGAGGAGAUUUUGAUCUUCAAUGGGUGAUGCCCUUGAAUCUCGCCGUCUUUGAAUCCUCCGUAGUAGCUAUCUUCUCCGGUGCAAUGUUUCUUUUCGUACGUCAAAAAGUGUCUUCUCUAUCUCUCCAAAGUCUUUUAAUAGCCUCAGAUGGUUUUUCCCCAGUAAGAAGUCCAAAAUACCCUUAAUGAACAGGGCAGAUCCACACAACAAAAAGUAAAAUUUCUCAGCCGCGCCCAUCAACACUGGCAGUGUGGAUACACAUGGGUGCCCGUGUUGAUUCACACGGGCCGUGUGAAUUUACAUGGGUACCCGUGUUGUUUUCAAGAGUUAUGUUUUUUAAAGCAAGCUACAGAGGCAUCAACACGGGCCGUGUUGAUGCACACGGGUGCCCGUGUUAACCCUCUAUUUUACCUCCUGGAGUGCUUGUUUCCGGACAAACAACACGGGCCGUGUUGAUGUACACGAGGGCUCGUGUUGACCUACUGUAUCUUCAUAUUUUGGCCUUCCGGAGCAUCCAAUACUCGGCUAUUAGUCCUUUGGAACCUAUGCACAACCUGCAACAUUAACACUACCAAAUCGAAGCAUAAAAAGAGACUUUUUGACAUAAACAAGUAACAAAAUGCAAUGCACUAAUAAACUAACAAAACUUGUUAAAUGACUUUAAAAUAACUAAAAACAACCACAAGUCUGACCAAACUGAUGAAAAUAUGUCGGAUAAAAGGUGGGAAUUCAAUGGAAAUGGUGACCGAUCAUCGGUUAUUCUUCUGUGCUUCAGCCAAGCUGACUCACCGAUACAACACUCGCGCCAAUCAACCCAAGAUCUUGGAACAUUUGGAACAAGAGAACAAGGAGCUGAAGGAUGAGAUUGCAUGGUUGACUUCCAUGAUGGAGGUUGUUCUUGCUCCGCAUAAUCAGUCUUCACCAACUCCCGCAACUCCUCCAUAGAGGAUUGUCGUUUCUUAGGUUUCUACCUCGACUAUUCCUGUUGAUGUUAGCCAAUCCGGGUUUUCUAUGCCUGCUGGAUUCCCAUAGGAAAUGCCGCCAACAUUUGUGCCUGAAGGGUUUAUGCCUACCUUUGUUUCUAUGCCAGAAUCUAGCCCGAUCAUGUCUAUGCCUCCUCUAGUUGUUCAUACUUUGCCUCGUGUUGAGGGCACCAUCAACCAUUCUGAGACAUCUGAGGGACCAGAUGUUUAUGAGAAGAUGGAUGAAAUAAAGGAUCGGUUCCUUGAGUUGCAAAAAGAGAUGAAAACAUUGAGAGGAAAGGACCUGUUUGGUAAGAGUGUUGCUGAACUCUACUUGGUACCAAAUGUGAAAAUCCUGAUGAAGUUCAAGGUCCAUGACUUUGAAAAGUAUAAGGGAAAUGCUUCUCUAUUUAGUCACCUUGUUAUGUACGCCAGGAAGAUGUCAACUCAAACUAAUAAUGAUUAGUUGUUGAUUCACUAAUUUCAAGACAGUUUAAUCGGUGCUACUCUGAGAUGGUAUAUGGAUCUAGACAGUGCAAGUGUUCAUACUUUCAACGAUUUGGGUAAAGCUUUUGCUAAGCAGUACAAGUAUAAUGUGGAUAUGGUGCCUGAUAGACACCAAAUAAGGUAUAUGUCUCAGAAGGAUAAGGAGACGUUUAAAGAGUAUGCUCAGAGGUGGAGGGAACUUGCUGCUCAGAUUAAUUCUCCAUUAGAAGAGAAAGAGAUGACGAAGAUUUUCCUUAAGACCUUGAGUUCAUUUUAUUACGAACGUAUGAUUGCCAGUGCCCCUAGUGACUUUACCGAAAUAGUAAACAUGGGGAUGAGGUUAGAAGAGGGAGUCCGUGAUGGACGUCUGUCUAAGAAAGAAGCGUUGUCCAAUAAGAAGUAUGGAAGUGGUUUCUCCAAAAGAAAAGAGGCGGAAACUAAUUCACUAUCUGUAGGGAGGCUGAGGAGGCCUCAUGUUAGAAGGAGUUCCCAACCACGUCAGCAUCAACAUCAAGUCUUUUCAGUGAUUCCCGUCUUUUCCAAUAGUUCCAUUAAUCAACUUGUUCCAAUUCAACAACAACAACAACGUCAACAACAACCGCAGCAAAGAACCACCACCACCACCAACAAUAAUCAACAAUAAAACUUUGAGAGGAAGAAGGUCUCUUUUGACCCUAUUCCUAUGUCAUACGCCGAAUUAUAUCCAUCCUUGGUUCUCAAGAACCUACUUCAACCCAGAAAUCCACCGCAAAAUCCCGAGCCACUUCCAUGGUGGUUCAAACCUGAACUCCGUAGUGCCUUUUACCAAGGAGCCCCUGGCCAUGACAUUGAUAACUGCUAUCCAUUGAAGUAUGAAGUACAAAAGCUUGUGAAGAGUGGGAUGGUGUCGUUUAAGGACCGUGCGCCUAAUGUGAAAGCCAAUCCUUUACCUGCUCAUGGUAAUGCUUCAGUCAACAUGGUUGAUGGUUGUCCUGGGGAGUUCAAUAUUUAAGACAUCCACUAUAUCAGAAGGUCCUUAGUGGCAAUGCAUAAGGAUAUUCGUAUGGUUAGUGAAUGUGAGCAUGACCAUGAUGGUUGUGCAAUCUGUAGUGUGAACCCUCGAGGAUGUGUUAUUGUCAAGAGGGAUAUUUAAAGGUUGGUGGAUGAAGGUCUUAUCCAAAGUUUUCAAUCCCGUCACUUGGGAAAUGAUGUUAAUGUGAUUGUUCCUAUGUUUAAGACCCCUGAGUGGGUAGUAAUCCAGUUCAAUAGUAGUAGCAGUAACAACGUUAAUAGAUCGGUAUCAUCGUUAGUAAUACGGUUAACAGGCCCCAUCCCGUAUGCAUCCGAUAAAGCUGUGCCUUAUCAGUAUAAUGCCACAAUGGUGGAGAAUGUCCAAGAGGUUCUGUUUCCCGUAGCAGAUUUUGUGGUGAAUAUAGCUGAUAUUGCAAAGGUGACCCGUAGUGGUCGUGUCUUCAGCCUGUAAGAAGGUGGAUGUGCCUGUGGUGAAUCCAGUUAGUGCUCCAGUUUGUCAGUCUGGUGAAUCCAUCAAGCUGAAGCCUAAUGAUAAUGAUGAAGUUUUGAGGUUGAUAAAAAGAAGUGAAUUCAAUGUGGUGGGGCAGCUUAUCUAAACCCCAUCAAAGAUUUCAGUGUUGUCUUUGUUCAUGAACUCCGAAGCACAUAGAGAAGUGUUGCAGAAAGUCUUAGAGCAAUCCUAUGUUGAGCAUGAUAUCACUGUGUGUAGCGGUAAAUUCAUGAUCAUCCAGCUAUGGAUAAGCUGGAGAUCAAUAAAACCAGAGUCGCCACCGCGCUUUUAUUAUUUUCAAGGGAAAAGGGAAAAAGUACGAACAAAACCCAAAAGUAAGAAGUUUUCAAAUCAAAACUAAUAAAAUGUCAGAGAUUACAGGUAAGGGGGUUGGUUACACAGAGGGAAGGUGUUAGAACCCAAAGUGUUCUAGGUACUCCAAGGGAGCCCUUUCUUGUGUGCGUAUGUAUUUUGUACAAAGUGAUGUUUACAAACAAAUAGAAUGGAGGGAUGAGAAAAGAAUUCAUUAAUUAUAUUUUUAUGUUUGAAAAGACCUUCGGACUUAUGCCUACAUACUGUAAGACCCUAAUUUUGACCCUAAGAUCCCUCAUGGCAUCAUAACAUUGCAUUUGCAUCAUAGCCUCAAGGAAAAUUUGCAUCUUGGUUCCCUUUGCCUUUGGGUGGGAUCUCUUGAGAUUUGGUUUGAGAUCACCAAGCAUGCUUGAAUUGUAUAUUAUUGCUUUUCUCAUUUUAUUUACUAACCAAAAGCACAAAAAUAUGUCACUAACAUCUUUUGUUUGUAGCUUGAGCAGUCAGUAUAUUAUUGCUUUUCUCAUUUUAUUUACUAACCAAAAGCACAAAAAUAUGUCACUAACAUCUUUUGUUUGUAGCUUGAGCAGUCACAAGGUCUAAAGCUUCUAGGAGAUCCUAUGUGCAUUGAUAUGGUUAAGAGAAGGUGAAAGCAAGCAUGGAAAUGGUUCCUAAAGCUAUCAUCCAUCAAAUAUGCCUCCCAAGUAUCUCAAUUUAUCAUUUUGAUCAAAGCAAACAAGGGGCUUGAGGCUUGUUUUCCAAGGGAACCCUACUUCAUCUGUUCAUCAACUAUGCCUUGCUCAUGAAGCAACCUCAGCCCAUGAUCAAAUUCAAUCAAGGGAAGUUCUUUAAUUCAUCAUUUCAUGCAUAUUUGAACUUAUUUGAGUGUCCUCAAUCAUCAACUCAUCAAGAUAUGAGUUUUGGACUUGAGAAGUUGAUCAGUCAAUUCAUCUAACCAUUUUGAAAUGCACUGAGACCUAACUUUUUAUGUGUUUGUCAAAUGGAGAUUACCCCAAGAGAAAAAAUGUUCUUAAGUAAUAUAUGAACAACUUUCAUGUUCAUCAAAAUUGAUUUGAAGCUUGGAAGGUCAUCAUCCAUUCCAAGACAUUAUAGGUCAUUUUGACUGAAACCCUAAUUUUAGGUCAACUUCCUAAGGACAUAACUCCUACAUUUUUCAUGAUUUUGAGGUGAGAUCUAAUGAAUUGGAGAGAGUAAGAUAUCUAAUUCAAAUGUUAUGUUUAGCAAAAUUGAAAAACCUCAAAAGAAAUACAUGUUAUAAUGCAAAACAUUAUAGGUCACUUUGGACCAAAUGCAUUGAAAUGUGAAAAAGUCCAACUUCAAGUGCCCAUAACUUCUUCAUCAAAAAUCCAAAUGAUGAAAAAUUUAAGUCCAAAUUGAUUGCCUUGAGACGAUCUACAACUUGCAUGUUGAAUAUUUUGUCAUUUGUAGUUUUCAUCAUUGAGACAGAAGGGCUUGAACAUUGGCCAAUUUUGAAAAUUUCACAUAUGCAUGUUUUGCACCCUACACUUCAAGUUCAAUUUUCAUUAAUUUCCAAGGCCCAAAUGGAGUUUUGAUCACAUUGGCCAAUUUUGAAAAUUUCACAUAUGCAUGUUUUGCACCCUACACUUCAAGUUCAAUUUUCAUUAAUUUCCAAGGCCCAAAUGGAGUUUUGAUCAACAUAACAUUUGUUCCUUAUGCAAUAAGAUUUCCAACCAUUACCCAUAAGGCUAUGUUUCAAUUUUGGAAGUAUCAUUUUCGAAGAGGGGAACUUUUAGUGCAUUUUUGGAAACUUGAUUCAAUUGCCAUGCAUGAUCCAAAUACAUAUCUUCUGCACGUCCAAAACAUAUUUGGUGAUGUUUAGCUUACCAUUCCAAUCAGAAUUGGGCCCUCCAUGCGCCUGUACUGGCCCAUGCAUGGAGGGCCUUUUCAUCCAUGCACACACUUUGCUCAUGCUUGCAGCUCCCUUCAUCUAUAAAUACAAGGCCUUGGCUUCAUAAUUGGACAACCUGAAGUCACCUGUUAUGCUGCACGAAUCCCUCCAUAGCCAUACUUAAAGGAACUUUCUCUUUUUCUUCAAAUUUUCAGAUCUAAAUUUCAGCUACACUGGUUGAUUUCUAGAUCUAUAGUUCCUAAACCUUGCUCAUCUUCAUCACUAGACUACACUGCAAGCAUUAGCAAAGGCGAAUUGUGCUCUCAAGAUCCACAUUUCAAAGGUGGAUAUCAGAACUUAUUUUCUCCGAAACUCUUUAUUCAUAGCUUAUUUCUUACAUUUGCUGGGUUGUGUGAAGUCCUCUCAAUAGAGGCAAUUGUUUUGUGCUUUGAAUUUUGCAAAUCCAUCAAGUUUCAGUUGAACACCAUAUUUUUCAACCUCUGAUUUCUCUCUCCAUGAAAGUCUAGAGUGAAAAUAGAUGGUACAGGGGUGAUGUACAUCACCCCAGCUUUACAUUGUUGUAUAGAUCGCCUCAUUUGGUGAAGGUUUAUUUUCUGCAACUCUCGUCGGAAUCUCUGGUCUCGCCGGAGAAGACGGUGGUGUACACCACCGUCCGUUUGCCAGUUUUGAUCCAGGUCGUUGAUGAUGAUUCCCAGAUUGAAUCAGGGCUCUUGGAUCUUAUGACUUUUUUUAAGUGUUUAUGUUGCUUAGUUGACUUAGGUCCAUGAUACGCGCGCAUGCCACAACCGUCUGAUCUGCCAGGUCAAUUAAUGAAUUGAAUCCAACGCGUGUGGUUUUUCCUAAUUUUCUAUUUCUGAUUUUAAUUUCCAUUUUAUUUCUCUUAUUCCAUUUCAUUUCAAAAAAUCAUAUCUCAUUCAUUAUUGAUCCAAAAAAUGUGAGACCAAUUGCAUUAUUUCUCUUUUAAUUUCUAGUUUCUAAAAAUGAUUUUUAAUAUUUUUUAUUUUAUCAUUUGAUAUUUUUCAUGAAUUUUCUCUUUUCUGGUUAUUUUUAAAUUUGAAGUUUGACCUUUCUUUAUUAUUUUAAUUCAAGUUUUAUUUAAAUAUUAAAAAAUGCCAAAAAUAUUUUAUUUGUUUCUUGACUUCUAAUUCUCAUUUUGCUUCUGUUUUCUAUUAUUUGACCUUGAUCUUCUCUAUCAUUGGUCAAUGUUUGUUGAUUAGUACAUACCAUUUCCAUCAAUGCACUUUAAUUCUUCAUUUUCUUCUUCUUCUUCUUCUUCUUUUUCUUUUUUGGAUCAAUGAGUUAAAGAUUGGUGGUUAGCAUUGAUUAGGGAGGUUUAAUCUUCCUUGAUUCAAAUCUAAUUCAUCUUUAUCAUGGAUCAAGUGAAUGGCUUUGCAUUAAGGAUAAAUUGCUUCCUAAAUCAUGCAAAGAACCUAAAUCAAUACAAGAUCAUUUCUCAUCUUCUUUUUGGCAUGGAAAGUUGUUGGAGUUUGAUUCACUAAUCAAGACCUCUAACUUGUGUUGUUGCCUACAUUAUUAUUGACCGGCCUCAGAUAGUUAUAGUUGUGACUUCUACAUAAGUCCAAUUACGAUUGCUUAACAUAGCGCUAAAUUUGCCUUAUGGCACACUAACUACUAACAUUAACCAUUAACCAUUAACAUUUAAUUCUUGCUCUUUACAUUUAUGAUAUUUAUUAUUCUUGUACAUAUUAUUCAUUUUCUUUUUCCUUUGCUCAUUUGAGCACAUGUUUAUGUUAAUGCAAUUUGCCUUUUGCUCACUUGAGCAUAUAAUUGUGUAUAUAUUAUUGUGCUUGUGUUUUGUUUAAUUGUUAUGGACCAAAUGCAAAGAAAUAGACAAAUGGACUUAGUUUCUAGGAUAUUCCCUAUGCAAAUUGGAGUAAAAGGAUCUUAAUAUUGAAGAUGGAUUGGAAGGACCAAACCUCUAAACUCACUCUUGUCCAUUCUUGAUUUGCUUCAUAAGACUCUUUGAUGUGUGUGUGCUUUUGUGCUAGGGGAUCCUAUGAGAUAUCAAAUUGAAGAAUCAUUGCCAUGUUCAUCCAAAUUGAAAGAUACAAGAGGCAUUGGGGAUCUUCUAAGAGCUUGUUUGAUUAUGUUGAUUGCUUGAGCUUACUAUUAUUUUGCUUGCAUAUUCCAAAGGAUGGGAGCUACUUGGAUCAUCAAUAUGAUCACAAGAGAGGAACUCCAUUUGUGGUCUUAUUUCUUAUCCCUUAUCUCUUAUAUGACUAGGACUUUAGCCAUUCUUUUCCCUUCCUCCACUCUAACCCAAGCUAAAACUUUUGUGCAAACAUUUAACACCUCUUUCUACACAUUAGAAACCUAAGCCUUAUGCUUUUCAUUUUCAAACUUCCUUUUAAUAACACUUAUUUUGAAUUGAAUCUUUAAGUCAACUUUGACCAUAUUUUGUAAAUACUUUUCAUUGGUAAAUAUAACCCAUUCAAAUACUUUUGUGGUUUCAAUGGCCAUUUCUAAUCAAAAUUUUUUCAUAACCUUUAGCUAUUAGGUUUGAGUUAUCCUUGAGGUUGAUGUAAUACUCACCUAUAUCCUUAGUGAUGGACAAUGAGUCUUCCAUGCUUAUUAUAGGGUUAACCCCUCACUAGCAUGUUAAAGCUAUCCUCACAUGGUGGAUUUGUGGUUUAGGUUGAGUUUUCUCCCUUGGAUAACAAAAGACCUUAAGGCUUUUGGACCAAUCAAUUCACCAACUCAUUUUUAAUAUUUUUACCCCGAACUACGAGGUUUUGAUCCUAAUCUUUUUUAAGAUGGUACGUAGGCAAUGGGUUUAUCCAUCCAAACACAAAAGGUAAAUAACUUGUAUAUUCUCUUCUCAUCUCUUCAAUCGUGUUUGCACAAACAAAUUUUCACAAAAUACCAACCUUACAACAAGUAUGAAAAUAGCUCCCUAGGAGUACCUAGGAUGUUUUGGGUGCUUAAAACCUUCCCAUUGCAUAACCAACCCCCUUACCCCGAUCUCUGACAUUUUUACUAGUUUUUGAUUCGAUAAAACUUUUAGGUUUUUGUUCAUAACCAUUCCUUUGGAUAAAUAGAAGUGCGGUGGCGACUCGACUUGUAUGGUUUACCUUGGAUUUAGUCAAUAUCUCUAAUGGUAACGAAUACCCUGCUACAGAAAAGUGGCGACUCUGCUGGGGACAUUUGCCUAGUGGGUUUUUCCUACUGUAAUACCCCAAAAUUUACCCUUCAUUUUUUCUGGAAGCAUGGGAUUAUGUUUUACAUUUCAUUAGCAUCAUACUAGGUCAUACUCAUUGCAUACUGCAUUAGUGACAUGGAAAUCAGGUUUUGAUUGAUCAUUCCUUGACAGAAGGAGCCCACAUAAAUCAAGAUUUAGAAUUGGACUUCAUUCUCUAAGAAUACAAGUCUCAAAGGUCUCGGGGGGCUCUAGGUGUCUUAUUAUGGUCCUUAGCUCAUCAGUGAAAGAUUCAGAGCUAUCAGAGUGUUCAUCUAGAUUUAAUCAAGAAAUUAGGGUUUAAGGCUACCUGCAACAGGCAAUGUUUGGUUGGAAGUAGAGGAGCUCAUCCAUGUCAUGAUUGGAGAGGCAUCUUGGCCUAGGAAGACUCACAAUUAUCUCAGAAAGAUCCAUUGGCAAGCAGUGCAACAGUCCCUAAUCAUUUUGCCCCAAAUUAGGGUUUGGUAUAAAUCAGCUUAUUUCUGAUUCUUUGGGUGAAACUAUUUUCCCAUGGCCCCAUAUGUCCACAUGGGUCUACAUACAAAAAAUCAGCUCUUUAUUUGAGUCAGAAGUGCUUCAAUUGAUCAAUGGAAUCGGGAAUCAGAUAGUUUGGGAAAAGUCAACUGUGGGCCAAGAAAGUCAACUCUUGACAUUUGGAGAGUGGAAUCUCAAAUCCAUGCCUAGGGGAUCCAUCAUGUGAAAUUGUCAGUUGGAUCUUGGAUUCAUCAUUUAAUCAGGAAUUGGAAAAGUUACUUAAUUUGGAAAUGGUUGACUUUCCAUUUAGGGCAAGUUUUCAUGAUUGUUGCACUCACUUUAAGCCCAUUUUCCAUCAAAAUAAAAGCUCCAUUUGAAAUUUUCUCCAACAUGAAAAUUGUUCAUCUUGUUCCAAGCUUUCUAGAUAUAUAAAGUUUUCUCCAUUUGGAUCAAAGUUGAAAAACUUAUGCUUGGUCAAAGUGACACAUUUAUUUAGGAUCUUCAAAGUUUGUCAAGACUUCUUGGCCAGUUUUCUUGCACUUCAAGGCACCAAUUGAAAAUGUUUUCUUCACAAUAAUUAUACCUUUCCAUGUCCUCUUUCACCUCCUUUUGGAAUCAUCUCAUUUGGAUCCAUGGUUUGAGAGAUGGAUUCAUCUAAAGUUGGCAUCAUGACUUGAAUUUCUAGGCAGCAUGUUAGGCCAAACUGGCCCAACCAUUUUGGCAUGGUGAGACCUGAACUUGAGGCCCAUUUUUCACCUUCUUCCAUUCAUCAUUUAGGCAGCAUGUUAGGCCAAACUGGCCCAACCAUUUUGGCAUGGUGAGACCUGAACUUGAGGCCCAUUUUUCACCUUCUUCCAUUCAUCAUUUCCACUUGUGCUCAACAUGAAAGAUGCUAUACUCCAUGGUCUUGCUACUGUUUGCAUCAAAGAUACAUGGCCACAAAGUCACCAUCUUGUGUAAGAGCCCAUUAAGAAUAUAUGACCCAUCAUAUGUAAGAACAAAAACCCUAAAUCUGAAGGUCAUAGUGAAUUUUAGAGCUAAGCAAGGAGGGAGUUCAUUCAAGUCAGAUUUCAUUUCUUUUCCAUUUCUCAAAGUUGAAGUUUCAAAGCACCAUUCUUCUUCCAUUUUCUCCACAACCAAGAGGCAGUGGACCUAGCUUCCACUAGGUAAUCAUCUUACUCCUUCUUCCAUGGCCAUGUAUAGCUUAUUAUGCUCAUCAUUAUGCUUGCUUCAUGCCAUUACCAUGCUCAUCAUCAUGCUGGUUUCCAUGUUAAUAUUAUGCUAUGCUCAUUUCUGAAGCCCUCAACAUGAGACAAUGUUCAUGUUGUGGAUUUGUUUUGUUUAUUUCUGCUCACACUCGUGGCCAUGUUGUCCUCUUGUUGUCAAUAUUUCUCCAUGAUUAAGCCAUCAUUUAACCUAAAACAAGUCACCAUGUUAAUCCUUGCAUUUCAUACUUGAUGUCUGGUUUUUAUUUCGUGUCUUUUGGUGCACUAUGGCAUGCGCAUUCUUGAGUGGAAGUUUGGAAAAACUCACUUCAUUUUCGCGAUUUCUGCAUGAUUAUGGCAUUAGGGUUUGGUUUGAGGAAGGAGAUGAUUACGUGUCAUCUUAGGAACCGUUAGAUCCAAGGCAUGUGUUUUAAUCCUGGCCAUUUAUUUGUUUUUGUCCUCUAGUGACUUAAGUACCCGUGACCAAUUGAUACAAGGUUACUUGAUUUAAUUUAUUAAAAUGUUAUUUGUUGUCACGCUGGUUUAAUAAUUGUUUGGACUGGGCCUGCGCUUUCCCGCUCUCCACACCCCCAAGUUCCAGGGCCCAUCAACACUAAUACUUUCUCUUUUCAUUUUCUUUUUUUAAUUUCCAUUUAUUUGCUGUUUUGAUUUUAAUUAUUUUAGAAUAUUUUCUUUAUUCAUAAAAAUCCCCAAAAAUAUUGUCCACAUUUCUUAAUGCCUUAUUUAAUUUUAUUUAAUUUUUAUUUUCGUAUUUAUUUAAUGUUAAUAUUUUAUUUCAAUUAUUAAUUCUAAAUGGUUCUUUUAAGCAUACCUUNUUUAUUUAAUUUUUAUUUUCGUAUUUAUUUAAUGUUAAUAUUUUAUUUCAAUUAUUAAUUCUAAAUGGUUCUUUUAAGCAUACCUUUAAUUCUUGAUUUUAUUUUCAUGGCUUAAAAUUAUUUUUAGCCUUUGAUUUUUGGGAUGAAGGUUGACCACUGUCCCAUGGUCAACCUGACAUUUUCUUGAUUUUUUAUUUCACAAUUUUCUAUUUAUUUGAUAACUAUUUUGGUUGGUUGACUUUUAGUUUGACCUUUAUUUUAUUUCAAUUAAUUCAUGAACCAAUUUUCAUUAUUUUUGAAAUCUUUUUGGGGGAUGAUGAUGUCCUGACCCCACCUCAUUUAGUUUAAUUUUUCAUAAUUUUCUUGAUUAAUUUGCUAUUUAUUUGACAUUUUUUAAGUUGACUUGAGCUUUCAGUUGCCUUCUUUAUGAUCGAUGUUUGAGUUAGGGAUUGCUUAUGGCAAUUGAAGAGACCUUUUGAUCCUCCCUUGUUCAUCUCAUAUGCCAUGUAUUAGAGGCCUUUUAUCUUGAUUUUAUUUGGUCCUUACCUCAUUUCCGGAUUAAAUUUUUCAGUGGACCCCUUUUGUGCAUCUUUUCAUCUGUCUGAUUCAUCUGAUAUUUGUUAUACUUGUUUCUUUCAUCCAUGCCUUCUUUUGCUUGAUUGUUUAACAUGUUCAUACUUCCUAUGCAUUGUUUAAUGCUCCAUCAUAUCAUUCUUUGAUUAUUUGACUUGAUUAUAUACCUGUCAUAUACUCUUAUUGUUUGAUAACUGUUGCCUACUUGUAUGAUGAUUGAGGCAUAUAUUCUUAUUGUUUGGUCGCCGUGAACCAUCCCCAUUUGUAACAAAUGUACCCCUCUCCCAAGAAGUGUAUAAUAUUUAUUCUCUCAUUCUUUAUUCAUCUGUUAAUACAAGAAUUAAAACGAACAUCCGAUAAUCAUUUCAAAACAAGAUCAAAAGCUCGACCCAACGUCGAGUAAUCAUUUUCAAAACUUAACAGAACCAGCAUGUAUUCAUUCAUCCUCUUGUAAGUCGAUCUCCUCAGGCAUCGCCAUUUCUCUUGUAAGUCGAUUGCUUCAGGAAACACCAUCUACCUCUUGUAAGUCGAUUGCUUCAUACAUCGCCAUCUACCCUUAUCCGUGGCUCCUCUCCUCGCUCCAUCCGUCAACUCUUGUUCUGUUUAGGUAACACCCAUUAGGUAGAACCUUUUGUAUUAUAACAUAGGUAGAAUUCCCUUAUUCUUUGCAUGCUAACAUUAGGUAGAUGUUUCCCUUCUGUAAAUCCUAAUACAUAGGUCCACAUUGCAUGACAACUCUAGGGCAGAGCUUCCCCACUUUUAGACCUUCCGUGCGUCUCCGAUCUUGUGGCAUGUCAAUCCGUUCUAUUGCAAAGAGGUAACUGCCUAAGACUCGAUUAGAGCUUCCCCACUUUUAGACCUUCCGUGCGUCUCCGAUCUUGUGGCAUGUCAAUCCGUUCUAUUGCAAAGAGGUAACUGCCUAAGACUCGAUUCAGCGAGCUGCGACACCUACUGCUAGGAUGUUGACCACAUUGCCCACUUUCCUUUGACACAGCUGGUGUCCUCUUUUGUAAGUCCAUGUUCAGAUGGAAAUCCAUAACCCCUAGUUAGGCGAACUACGACAACUCUGAUUCUCAUGUUCAGAUGAGAUACGUAGGCACGAGAUGUGAUGUCUUGCCGAGUUUGACUAACGACUAACAACUAAUCCUUGUUUACUUUCCCCCUUGCUGCGAUUCUUUUCUCUCGCCCUCGUUGCGAUCGAGACCUUCCCUUUCUCUUGCCCUAGUUGCAAUCGAGACCCUUGUUCCCGUAGUUAGCUGAACUACGUUUUUCUCUGAUUCUCAUGUUCAGAUGAGAUACGUAGGCAUAAGACACGAUGUCUUAGAGAGCACACUUCUCUUUCGCCCAUAGGUAGCUGAGCUACGAAGACUCUGAUUCUCAUAUUCAGAUGAGAUACGUAGGCAGUGGAUGCGACAUCCUUGCGAGUCAUUUUAUUUUAACCCUUCUUUUAGUAAAUAGUACCUUAGAUAUACCUACACCCUUUAGACUAGAACAACAAGAGUGGAUCCCGUAGAGUACUACAGAUGCGUAGGGGUGCUAAUACCUUCCCUUCGCAUAAUCGACUCCCGAACCCAAGAUUUGGUUGUGAGACCUUGUCUUUUCCUUCUCUUCAGGUUUUCUUCAAUCGUUUCCUUUCCCUUCUUUGGGAUAAAUAACGAACGGUGGCGACUCUUCUAUUUCUUUUUCUUCGCCGGUUGUUUUUUUUCGCACCAGUUGCGACAGCUGGAGACUCUGUUGGGGACCCGGUUUCCCUAUGCGAAUCCCUCCUAGCUUUUGUGAGUUUCUUGUUUGUUGGGUGUUUAUUCUUUUAUACAAUUAUUUACUUUCAGCAUUUAUCUGCUUUAUCUUAUUGCAUUAUGUACAUAUGAUUGUUGUAUCUGUUGGAUCUGUGGGGUUGGUUGUUUGUUGGGAUGGGUUGUUCUAUGAGAGAUAAGCCCACUACCCAGGCUUGAGCGUACACACAGGUUUUAGAGUGGAUAGUCAUGAGGCUUGCAUAGUAUGUUGCUACGUUAAGUCGUUCACGAAGACCCACACCAUGAUGAGGUUUCUUUUGGAUAUAUUCUGUCCUAUGAGUGUUCCAUAACGACAGACGUUCCUUUAGAAAUCGUCGACUCUGGUGACCAUUUCCCGAGGACUCAGUCGAGGGCUCUCCUCCGAGACGCGGUUAUGUUAGCUCUGGUGGGCACAUUCUCGCUGCUCAAUCCGAGGACCCCGAGGCUGGGAAUUGCUUUUAGGAUGUCCUGUUGAGGGGAGUCAGUGGAGGUCUUUUGUCUCGUAAUAAUGCUAAACCUUCAGUAGUAAACGUAUUAUUCUCGACUGAAGGACUAGAAGCUAAUGAACUUCUGUUCUUGGAACCUACCAGUGAGGGGCGGGCUAAAUUCAGGAAACCUUAACCUUCAACCAACCCAGUUUUCUGGUAUUCUUGUUGGAACAGAGCUUUGAUCUCUUAUAUGUUCCUCAGUGGUUUUCUCUUCAGACAGUGCGACCUGACAGUUGUUCAAGCAGAUACAGCAAUCAUGAUUCCCAUGUCACUGCAUUGCAUCACAUCAUUUUGCAUUCAUAUCAUUUAACACAUGUUUAUCCAUUACUAGGGGUUUAUAUCUUCUUCUUGAUUCUAGUCGGGGUUUUCUGGUUCUCCUAAGAUGGAUAUUGGCAGAAAAAGACAUGUCGCCUACAGAUUUCUUGUGGUUUGUUUGGAUCCCAUUCAACAGCUGAUGAAGUUAACGAAUCAUGAUUCUCUAGAAGGAUUCCGGAAGGAUUAUGGUUUGAUUCUAAGCUUCGUUACGGCUCUCUCCAAAGAUCAACACGAUGCUCUCUUUACACUGCUGCAGUUCUAUGACCCUACAUUGAGGUGUUUUACAUUCCCAGAUUAUAUCUUAGUCCCUACUUUGGAGGAGGUUGCCAGUUUUCUCAGAGUUCCUAUCAAGCCGCAGUUGCUAUUCUACAAUUCCAAGUUUCUGCCCGAUUUCAGCAUGGUUGCUUCAGCCACAUAUUUGGGGAAAUCAGUCUUGGAGUUUAAUAUGAGUCAGAAAGGAGGAGUUAAUGGUUUUCAUCUGAGUUUCCUAGUAGGAGAAGCCAAGAAGAAGCUUGAAGAUGGUGAUUGGAGGUGUUUCAAUGCUGUGUUGGCUCUUUGUGUAUACGGGAUUGUCUUGUUCCCUAAUGUUCCAAAAUUUGUGGACGUAGACGCAAUACACCUCUUCGUGUUGGGAAAUCCGGUGGCGACCUUGCUAGGAGAUUUCUUUCAUUCAGUGCAUCACAGGAAUGAGAAUAGAAAAGGAGGAUUGGUGAAUUGUUGUGCACCCUUGUUUCAUAAGUGGUUCAGUUCUCACCUACCCAAAUCAGGAGCGUUCAUUGACUUCAAGGACUCGUUGAGUUGGUCGAAGAGAUUGAUGGGGAUAAGAGCUAAAGACAUUUCUUGGUGGUCUGACCAGAACUUGCUUCGGGCGGAUAUCAUUCACAGUUGCGGGAACUUCCCGAAUGUGCCAUUGGUAGGAAGAAAAGGAGGGAUCAACUAUAAUCCUUCUCUAGCAGUCAGACAAUUUGGGUAUGCUUUGAAAACUCCGCCUUUGGAAAAAGAUGUGGAAGAAUCUCUGUUUUUCCAUUCCUCAUCUGAUUUGACUGUAUCCCAUAAGGCAGUUGAGGCUUGGCUCAAAGUGAUCAAGAGAGGAAGGACUGUGCUUGGAAAGGGAGAUUGCAGGACUUAUCAUCAAUAUGAAGAUUGGCUUCGGGGAAGAGUCGAAGAGUUUGGUCUGCCUUUUCCUAUUAAAGAACCUUUGUAUCCACCUACUCCUGAGCAGUCAACGAUGGUGAGUCGAGAGGAGUAUGACAAAUUGAAGAAUGCCAUUGAGGAACUUCAAACUAAAAACUCAGAGUUGCGUGUGAAAUUGCAAGAAUGUAUGCAUCUAUACCAUGAGGCAGAAUAUCAGAAGGGGGAAACUGUCAGAUUGCAAGAGGAAGCAGAGAAGAAACUGGUUGUGGAGGUUAACUUCUUCAGGAAAACUGACAAAGCCUUGGGGUCAUCCAGUUCUGAGUUGAGGCAAGUCAAGCAGUAGUUAACAGAUGCCUGUGGUAUGUUAGCUGGGUGGCAAGAGCAGUGGGAUGCAUUUUCAGCUUCUCGGAAGGCAAAAGAGAAGGAGAUGAUGGCCCAAUUGACCGGUCAGAUGGAGAAGUUGAAGACUCUGCUGAAGGAGAAGAACAAUGAGCUCUUGUGUGCCCGUACAACCAAUGGUUACAUCACAGAUCAACUCGACAAUGCUCAAGUACAUAUUGAAGAACUCAAGGUGCUGGCGGGUUUGAAGAAAUCUAGACUUGAAGAGGUGUUCGUGGAGGACGAUGGGAAUUACUACAUAGAGCACAUCAACGAGCUGGAUGGGAUUAUUCACAAGAGGAAUUUUCUUAUUCGGUGUUUAACAGAAUCUCUAGAUCAUCCUGACACGGUGGCACUACUGGCUGAAGUUAGGAGCAGUCCUUAUGGGUUGUAUACAGAAGGCUGAUUCCUGAUUUUUGUUCCUCUCUUUACUUGUUAUGUUUCUUUGUGGUUUUGUAGUGAUGAUCCACAGGCUUGUUGUGGAGAUCCUCUUUUGAUGUACUGUUGGCUAAGGCCAUUCUCUUUGAACUCGUUUGUAUGACGAUUUCUCUUUAUUGCAUCUUGGUCUCAAAAGUUUAUCCACGGCUCGAUCUUCUUGUACUGUUCAUCUGAUGUGAGACUGGAAUUAAGGGGUAGAGUACCCUUUGGAAUUGAUAAACAUGUCAUUGCAUUUGCACAUUCAUUAGCAUGUCUUGCAUAACAGGUACCGCCGCAAUGUUCUCAUUUUGUUUGAUAUUCCACUAGUAGGAUAGCUGACUCAGGCAUUCACCGGUACGGUACCCGCAGGAAUCAACAAAGAGCAAUGGAAGGCCUACAAGAAGAGCUUGUUGAGAUGAGGAUUUGCAUGAAUCAGUUCAUGGACGUGGUCCAAGGAGUGGCUCAGGGACAGCAGAAGCUCAGACAGAUGAUACAGAGGAAUCCCCCUACUACUCAACCAGAGAUGGUGAUUGAUCCUCCAGCUGGAGAGACCAAUGGACCCAAUAGACCGGGGCCUAUCCCUAUCCCACGUGUCAACCCUGAUCAACAACCCAUUCAUGAUGAUCAAGAGGAUCAGUUCACUCUGCUUCAAGAGGACUUUGGCAUGGGCCAUGGCAUGGACCUUAUGUUUAGGAGGUUGGAGGAGAGGUUGAAGGUUGUGGAAGGGCAGAAUGCUCUUGGUGUGGACGUUGCUGACUUGGGGCUGGUCCCAGGCGUGAGAGUUCCACCAAAGUUCAGAGUCCCAGUCUUUGACAAAUAUAAUGGCAACUCUUGCCCGAAGAGUCACGUGCAAGCUUACUUCCGCAAGAUGGUUGUGUAUUCUGAUGAUGAGAAGCUGCUCAUGUACUUCUUCCAGGACAGUCUAGCUAGGGCAUCCUUGGAAUGGUAUAUGAGGCUGGAUAGAGCCCAUAUUUGCUGCUGGAGAGAUUUGGCUGAGGCUUUUGUGAAGCAGUAUCAGUACAAUGUUGAUAUGGCACCUCACAAGACUCAACUCCAGAAUCUGUCUCUCAAGAGCAAUGAGUGCUUCAGAGAAUAUGCUCAACGCUGGAGAGAGACAACUUCCUGUGUUCAACCUCCGAUGAUGGAGAAGGAGAUGGCCAACAUGUUCAUGAACACACUUCCCGGGUCUUACUUGGAGCGUCUGGUGGGUUGCAACGCCUCCAAUUUCGCUGAUGUGGUCUCUACCGGUGAGAGGGUGGAGAACUACUUGAAGACGUGCAAGAUCCAAAGUGGGGUUGGAUCAUCAUUAGGGGCGAAGAAGCCGUUCAUACAGGGAUAAAAGAGGAGAGAAGGGGAUUGAAAUUCAAUAUCUUCUUAUCAGAACAGGGGUAACCGGAGGAACAGUUUUCAGAACUACCAUCAACAACCUUAUGUUGCAGUUGUGACCAUUUUGGCUGCAGCACCAGUGCAACAACAAUAACCUCAGCGUCAACAAACUCAAUACCAACAACCACAGGGUAACAGAGCUGCCUACCAACAGGGACAGAGGAUGUUGGACAGGCGUUUCGACACUCUUCGGAUGUUGCAUGCCCAGUUGUUUCCCAGCCUUCAACAGCUACAACUUGUGCAGAUACACACUUUGACUCCUCCUAUUGGCAGGCUUCCAGUGGGUUAUGACGCCAAUGCUAGGUGUAAUUUCCACUCUGGGGCACCUGGCUACUUUAUUGAGAACUGCAAAGCUUUUAAGCACACAGUUCAGGACCUUAUUGAUUCGAAGACCAUCAACUUUGUGCCAGCUCCUAAUGUUGUCAACAAUCCCUUGCCGCAACAUGGUGGUGCAAACGUUAACAUGGUGGAAGGAGAAUUCAAAGUCGUCAAGGAUGUGUUGAAGCUGAAGACACCGCUGUUGGAAAUCAAAGAAUACUUGUUGAAGGCAGAUGUUUUCCCCGGUUGUGGGAGCGGCUAUUUGGGUUGUACUGUACAGAGUGGGGGUUGUGUGAGGCUGGAGCAGGGUAUUCAGGCCUUGCUCGACGAUGGUAUCCACCAAGCUGAAGACCUAUCUGCCCAAAGGUCUAUUGAAGGGGUUGUUGUAGGGGAUGUUGAAGAGAAUGCUGAUGUUGAUCCUCUCUUUCCUGAAGAUGCCGUGGAUGCUAAAGAAUUUACAAAUGUUGUUCCUGCUGAUUUUGUAAUCCCUAGUGAUGUAAUUAAUUCUUCAGAUGUUGUUGUUGAUAUUCCAAACAAUGUAUUUAAUUAUGAUGUAUUUGUUGAGCCUGAUUCCGAUGUUUCGGAUGCUUGCAUUUCAAUGAAUAAGAUUUCUAAGUAUGACUGUGAUGUUGCCACUAUCACAAUUUUCUACCCAACUGCUUAGAUCAGUGUGCCAGUAGCGCAACCGGUGCCACCAGUGCGACCAUCCACUAUGACCAUCACGACCCCUGGUCCUUUACCUUUCACCAGCGAAAGGGCCAUUCCUUGGCAUUAUGGGGGGAGUGUGUACACGCAUGAUCAUGGAGUGGAGCAGCCACUGAAAAUAGAAGAGGUGCAGGAUCAGAGGUCUGAACCUGGAGUUGAGGUAAAAGAUCCCGCAGUGGACAAUAUUGGUGGAAUCGGGCGAUUCACCAGAAGUGGUAGACUAUUCUCACCACCGGUUACCCAACUUGAUAGUGCUGAUGCCGCGGCGAAGGCCAAAGGCAAGCAAGUUGUGAAUGAGGGUACCUCUGCACCACAGGCUGGCUCUGACCCUACUUUUGCGAAGGAUGUGGACGAGCUCUUGAGAAUCAUAGAGAAAAGUGACUACAAGGUAGUCGAUCAGUUGAUUCAGACGUCGUCCAAGAUAUCUAUUCUAUCACUCCUGCUGUGUUUGGAGGCACACAGGGAGGCAUUGUUGAAGGUCCUUAAUGCUGCAUAUGUGCCUCAGGAGAUCUCAGUGAACCAACUGGAAGGGAUCAUUGCAAAUGUUCAUGCGAGCAACAGGUUGGGUUUUACUGAUUCUGACUUGACACCAGCUGGACGCAAUCAUAACAAGGCUUUGCACAUCUCGAUGGAAUGCAAAGACACCGUGUUAUCCCAUGUUCUGGUGGAUACAGGUUCCUCUCUCAAUGUGUUACCCAAGAGAGCCCUGUCAAGGUUAGAUGUAGAAGGUUUGAUCUUGAAGCCUUCCGAUCUUGUUGCGAGAGCCUUCGGUGGUUCUAAGAGGUCGGUGUUCAGAGAGGUAGAAUUGCCAAUUUAGAUUGGAUCACAAACCUUCAACACUGUCUUCUAUGUGAUGGAUAUCAGUCCUUCGUAUAGCUGCUUGUUGGGUCGUCCUUGGAUCCACAAUGUUGGGGCAGUCUCCUCGACCUUGCAUCAGAAGAUCAAGUUCCCGGUCAACAAACGAAUUAACACUGUCUGUGGUGAGGAGGAUAUUCUAGUCAGUCACUUGUCUACAUUCAAGUAUGUAGAGGUAGAAGGUGAGAUUCAUGAGACCCUGUGUCAGGCCUUUGAGGCAGUUCAAGUCAAGGAUGCAGCUCCGGUGGAAGAGGUUAAAGUAGGUGCCUCUAUUUCGUCCUUUAAGCAGGCGCAGGCCUUGGUAAAUUCAGGUGUUGCUCCCGGUUGGGGACGUCUGUUGGAUUUACAUGUAAAGGAAGACAAGUUCGGGAUUGGGUAUCAGCCAACAUUGACUUCUACAACUUCAACGUCUUAGACUCGUCAGGGGCCGAUUACUUUCUCCAGUGCUGGCAUCAUUCAGUAUGGCCAGGUCUCUGCAAUCAACAAAGAAGAUGAAGAUAGUGAUUGCGACAUAGACAACUGGGUGCAUCCAAGGGUCCCGGGUGAAGUUCUCCGCAAUUGGUCUUCUGAAGAGAUUAUCCAAGUCACUCUUCUUGAAGAGUAAUUUUCUUUGUUUGUUUGUGCAUAUCCAAGUCUUACAUUCCGCCCAGGGCGUAAUGACUCAUUGUAGGGCUCAUCUAUGUGAAUACCUGCAUUUUUUAUCAUAAAUAAAGGACGUCUUUUUGCAUUCAAAUAUUUUGUUCACUGUAUCAUUGUAGGGCUCAUCUAUGUGAAUACCUGCAUUUUUUAUCAUAAAUAAAGGACGUCUUUUUGCAUUCAAAUAUUUUGUUCACUGUCUUUCUAUUUUUGCAGUUUUCAAAAAUCAAAAAAUAUUUGGCAAUGUUUUGUUUAGUUUUCACUCAUUAUUCACACUCAUAAGCACAUACCAUCACUCAUGCAGCUGCACGUCACCGGAUCCUAUUGAUAACAGUUCUACUAUGGCUCGCUUCGACUUUGAAAAUCCAAUCUUUCAAGCUGAAGAAGAGGGUGGUGAAGACUGUGAACUCCCUGAAGAACUUGCCAGGUUGUUAAAACAGGAGGAAAGGGUCAUUCAACCGUAUCAAGAGUCAAUUGAAGUGAUUAAUCUUGGCACCGAGGAUGUCAAGAGAGAAAUCAAGAUAGGGGUUGCUUUGGAAGAUAAUGUGAAGAAGGGGCUAAUUGAACUGCUGCAAGAGUAUGUUGACAUUUUCGCUUGGUCUUAUCAGGAUAUUCCAGGGCUUGACACAGAUAUUGUGGUACACCGUUUGCCUCUCAAAGAGGAUUGUCCUCCGGUCAAGCAGAAGCUCAGAAGAACAAGACUAGAGAUGACUGUCAAGAUAAAGGAAGAAGUGCAAAAAUAGUUGGAUGCAGGGUUUCUAGCGGUUACAAAUUAUCCGCCAUGGGUUGCAAAUAUCGUUCCAGUACCUAAGAAGGAUGGAAAGGUACGGAUGUGUGUUGACUACCGGGAUCUGAACAGAGCUAGUCCAAUUAUCCGCCAUGGGUUGCAAAUAUCGUUCCAGUACCUAAGAAGGAUGGAAAGGUACGGAUGUGUGUUGACUACCGGGAUCUGAACAGAGCUAGUCCUAAAGAUGAUUUCCAAUUACCUCACAUCGACGUUUUGGUGGAUAACACGGCUCAGUUCUCGGUUUUCUCCUUCAUGGAUGGCUUUUCUGGCUACAAUCAAAUUAAGAUGGCAUCAGAAGACAUGGAGAAGACAACUUUCAUAACCCCAUGGGGCACCUUCUGCUACAAGGUGAUGUCGUUUGGUCUGAAAAACGUUGGGGCAACAUAUCAACGAGCUAUGGUAACUCUUUUCCAUGAUAUGAUUCAUCAUGAAAUCGAGGUUUAUGUUGAUGAUAUAAUUGCCAAAUCUCAAAUGGAAGAAGAACAUUUAGUGAAUUUGCAGAAACUGUUUGAGCGUUUGAGGAAAUUCAAACUGAGGCUUAAUCCAAACAAGUGUACUUUCAGGGUGAGGUCUGGAAAACCGUUGGGUUUUAUUGUCAGCGAAAAAGGAAUUAAGGUGGAUCCUGCCAAAGUAAAAGCGAUAAAGGUUCAUCUCUCACCUAACAGCCACGUGUGAGCCAAUAUUCAAGCUGUUAAGAAAAGAUCAGGCUAUCAAGUGGAAUGAUGAUUUCCAAAGGGCUUUCGAGAAGAUAAAAGAGUAUUUGAAGAAUCCUCCUAUCCUUAUGCCUCCAGUCCCAAGGAGACCGCUGAUUAUGUAUUUGACAGUACUUGACAAUUCCAUGGGUUGUGUUCUCGGUCAACACGACGAGACAGGUAGGAAAGAGCAUGCCAUCUACUACCUGAGUAAAAAAUUCACAGAUUGCUGAGUCGAUGAACCUCAAUGCAUGGAAAAGACAUGUUUGUGCACUUGCAUGGGCCUGACUAAGCGAUUGAGACGAAUAACAUUGCUGACUCCACACAACCUGUACUGAUCUCCAAGAUGGAUCCAUUCAGAGUAUAUAUUAUAAGCCAGCUCUCACCUGAAGGAUUGCUCAGGUAUGGCAGAUGGGACUGACAGAGUACGAAUCCAGUAUACACCCAGCAAAGCCAAAUCAAAGGGAGUAUUCUGUCAAACUAUCUUGCUCAGCAGCCGAUUGAUGGACUAUAAGCCGAUGAAGUUUGAUUUUCCGGAUGAGACAUCAUGUUCCUCAAGGAGAAAGAUUGUGAAGAGCCAAGUUGUUGGAGGCGACCUGAUCCAGAUGAAAAGUGGACUUUAAUGUUUGAUGGGGCCGUCAAUGCCAAAGGAAGUGGAAUUGGUGUUGUCAUUACCACUCCGAAAGGUGCCCACAUGCCUUUCACCGCUCGUUUGACUUUCGAGUGCACCAAUAAUGAAGUUGAGUAUGAGGCCUGUAUUUUGGGUAUUGAGCAAGCCAUUGAUUUGAGAAUCAAGACUCUGGACAUCUUCGGAGAUUCAGCUCUAGUGAUCAAUCAAGUGAAUGGUGAUUGGAAUACUCUCCAGCCUAAUCUGGCCCCCUAUAGAGAUUACACGAGAAGACUGUUGACUUUCUUCACAACAGUAAAGUUGUAUCAUAUACCUCGUGAUGAGAACCAGAUGGUGUUGGUGUAAUCCCUAGAGGCCAAUACUUUUGGUACUUGUAUCGAAUUAUUUAUUAAUAAUAAAAGGCUUUUUCUUUAUUAUAUUUGUUUAAUAAAGUCCCUAGAAUAGCUAGUCCGUUUAAUGUAUCAAGUAUUACUUAAUCAUGAGAUCACAUUAAACAUAAGGACAUUAUUCUUAAAGUAUUCGUAGUCAAGCUUUAUUGUGAAGUGGGAUAACAUUAAAGCAUGAAGACUAUUAUGUUUAUAGACUGAUGAUCACAUCUCAUGGAUCAUGGAUAAAGAGUUAUCAAGUCUUAAACAUAGGUAUGAAUAUUAAGAGUAAUAUUUAUACUGGAUUGACCCGCUAUGAGAAUACUAUAUAGAAUGUUAUGCAAAGUGUCAUAAGUUAUUCUCAUGGUGAUAAUGGUGUAUACCACCCUUCGACCUGAAACCACUAUGGACCCUAGAUGUAGAGUCGAGUGCUUUAUUGCUGAUCAAACGUUGUCCGUAACUGGAUAACCAUAAAGACAGUUGAUGGGUACUCCACGAAGCAUGCUGAGGGACAUGAGUGACCUAGAUGGAAUUUGCCCAUCCUGCGUAACAGGAUAAAUGUCUAUGGGCCCAAUAUUGAACUGGACAAGGAUGACACGGUCUAUGCCUUGUGUUCAAUAUAGACAUAAGGGCAAAAGGGUAAUUAUACACAUAAGUAUUAUCACAGAAGGAUUUGUCAGAUCACAUGACAUUUUCGUGUCUUGGGUAGCAGUGAUGUGUUGCUAGAUACCGCUCACUGUUUAUUAUGUUAAAUACGUGAUUUAAUAUAAUUGCCAAUGCCGCGAAAACCUACAGGGUCACACACAAAGGACGGAUUGAUGAGAGAUAGAGUAACUAAGGAACACCGUAAGGUACGGUGCACUUAAGUGAAUUGUAGAACAUCGUAAGGUACGGUGUACUUAAGUAGAAUACGAAAUAUGGUAAGGUACCACGCGCUUAAGUGAUUUUGGCAUAUUAUAAGAUAUGGGCCACAUACACUUGAGUGGGCUUUUUAGCUUGCAGCCCACACAAGUGGUUCUAUAAAUAGAACCCUUGUGUAGAAGCAUUUGUGCAGUUGCAAUUUUGUUUUCUCUCUCUCUCACUCAAAGCCUUCAUUCGUAGCAGCUAGCACUGAGAUUGAAGGAAUCCGUUCGUGUGGACUGAGUAGAGGCGUUGUCAUCGUUCAACGUUUGUGAUCGCCACAAGAGGUAACGAUUCUAUCACUGAUCAUGCCCAUUCGUAAGGAUCAUUAAAGGAGAAAUUUUAAAUUCUGCUGUGUUUUGGAUCGCCAUUCAACUUCAGAUGGCAGAUGCUCUUGCUACUUUAUCCUCCAUGAUCAAGGUGAUUAGGUGGAACUAUGCUCCCAGGAUCGAUGUUAUGCGCCUUGAUAGGGCCGCGUAUGUGUUUGCUGGUGAACGGGUGGUUGAUGACAAGCCCUGAUAUCACGACAUCAAAUGCUUUCUGAAGAAUCAAGAGUACCCUGCAGGGGCAUCCAACAAUGAUAGAAAGACUUUGAGAAGAUUGGCAGACAAUUUCUUCUUGAACAAAGACGAUGUGCUGUAUAAAGGAACAUCGAUAUGGUUUUGCUCAGAUGCGUGGAUAGACACGAAGCGGACAUGUUAAUGCAGGAAGUUCAUGAAGGCUCCUUCGGUACCCAUGUCGACGGAUAUGCAAUGGCUAAGAAGUUGUUGAGAGCGGGUUAUUACUGGAUGACCAUGGAAUCUGAUUGUUUCAAGUAUGCUCGGAAGUGUCAUAAAUGCCAGAUUUAUGCUGAUAAGGUGCAUGUGCCGCCAAAUCCUCUGAAUGUGAUGUCUUCGCCGUGGCCGUUUGCUAUGUGGGGCAUUGAUAUGAAUGAUAAGGUGCAUGUGCCGCCAAAUCCUCUGAAUGUGAUGUCUUCGCCGUGGCCGUUUGCUAUGUGGGGCAUUGAUAUGAUUGGAAAGAUUGAGCCGACUCCUUCCAAUGGGCAUCGCUUCAUCCUUGUUUCCAUCGACUAUUUCACCAAGUGGGUCGAAGCAGCGUCAUUUGCGAAGGUCACCAGACAUGUGGUUGCCCGAUUCAUUAAGAAAUAAAUCAUUUGUCGUUAUGGGAUUCCCGAAAGAAUCAUUACUGAUAAUGGUUCUAAUCUCAAUACCAAAAUGUUAAAGGAGUUGUGCAAGAACUUCAACAUUUAACAUCACAAUUCUUCCCCUUAUCGUCCUAAGAUGAACGGUGUUGUUGAGGCAGCAAAUAAGAAUAUAAAGAAGAUUGUGCAGAAGAUGGUCGUUACGUACAGAGAUUGGCAUGAAAUGCUACCCUUCACCUUGCAUGGGUACCGUACUUCAGUACGUACGUCGACCGGGGAAACCCCUUACUCCCUUGUGUAUGGUAUGGAAGCAGUCCUACCUGUUGAAGUGGAGAUUCCUUCUCUAAGAGUCCUGCUGGAUGUCAAGUUAGAUGAAGUUGAAUGGAUUCAGACAAGGUUCAAUGAGCUGAGUCUUAUCGAAGAGAAGCGAAUGGCAGCCAUCUGUCAUGGGAAGUUAUAUCAGAGUCAGAUGAAGAGAGCCUUUGAUCAGAAAGUGCGUCCUCGAUGCUUCCAAGUCGGAGAUUUAGUGUUGAAAAGGAUCCUUCCUCCUCAGACAGAUCACAUGGGCAAGUGGACUCCUAACUAUGAUGGACCAUAUAUUGUCACCAAGAUUUUUGAUGGUGGAGCCUUAAUGCUUGCAACUAUGGAUGGUGAAGACUUCACUUCCCCUGUGAACUCAGACACAGUUAAAAAAUACUUCGCAUAAAAUAGACCCGCUGGACAAUAAAAAGAAUAGUCCAGGCAAAAAAUGGGCAUCCCGGCGAACCAAGAAAAUGAAAAAGGUUCGGGCAAAAGUUAGGGGUUAAAAAUGAAAAGAUUGUACACCCGGUAAGUUGAAAAACUGAAAAGGCAACUUAGGCAAAAAUGGGUAUCCCGGUGGAUUGAAAACCCGAAAGGGCGAUCCAGGCAAAAGUUAGGGAUUAAGCGAAUGACUGUGUUCUGAGUAGUUCUGAAUCUCAUUUCGUGUCGAUAACUGGAAACUUUCGAAGGAUAGGAAACAGUCCAAUCACCUCUUUCAGAAAGCUGAUCAUGUGGAGGAUCUUGAAGACGAGCGAGUCAUAGCAGAAUUGGAACCCGAUAGAAAUCCCUUUCACAUUGCUAUUAGACUAAUUUCUGUUUUUAUCUUUUAUGCAAUUACCUCUUUCCAGGGAUUGCUUCCUGAUGUAAAUUCCUAUUCAAAGGCCAUUCAAUCAAUAAAAUCAUGUUAUUCAGUAUAUCUCUGUUUUCAUUUUCAUUUUACUGUUUUGUUUGCAAAAAUGACGUCCGAAUUUUUGAUAAACAUUGCAUCAUGAAACAUAAGUAUAUCUCUGUUUUCAUUUUCAUUUUACUGUUUUGUUUGCAAAAAUGACGUCCGAAUUUUUGAUAAACAUUGCAUCAUGAAACAUAAGAGCUUUACAGGUACAUGCUUAAUAAACAUUUAAAAUUUAUGUAAAUUUUAAGUGCUUUGGAUCGUCUAUUCAGAACAGGAACACUCGGGGCAUUUCCUUAAGGUUCCCAACAGAUGAUCGCGGAUGUUCUGCUUCAACAGUUGGUACUUGGUAUCUUAUCCCUGCAAAGUUGGUCAAAGCAUUGGAUUUUUCAAUCCCCAGCAGGUUCUCACUACUGUACUCUCCCCAUGCAUUUGUUUCAGAUUAUACAUUCAACAGUAGAGUCGACAGUGUCAGACUGUAUAUCCCUAGUAGAGUCGACAGUGUCAGACUGUAUAUCCCCAGCGGAGUUGACAGGGUUAGACUGUAUAUCCCCAGCGGAGUUGACAGUGCUAGACUGUAUCUUCCCAGCAGAAGCAGCUACUCCUCAGAGUUCGAUGCUAGAUCGAUGAUCUCGACGCUAGAUCCAUGAUCUCUUUCCUUGAAGCAGAAUCUCGGUACCAUAUCGGUGUUUGCUUCCCCUGCUGAGUCGUCUCUCUCGCAGAUAUUAGUUGCCAGAACCACUGUCGCUUUCCUCUGCAGCAAGCUUUCAGUGCCAUUCUCUCCCCAGUCAGAUUCUCGGUAUUUUGUUAUUGCUAGAACACCGCAUGGCCGGUCAUUUCCCCACAGAGUUCAUCGUGCUGUGUGUCUCCAACAGCAUCGCCAGGGUCCAGAAGAUUGCGAUCAUUUCCCCAGUAGAAUUCUUUGCCUCGGCUUGGUGUUCUCUUUAACCUAGCAUUUCGCAUCCCUACAUGUAGAAUCAUAUCGUAUUGCAUCCUCCCAAAUCGCGUAGCAUUUCCAUUUUCAUGGAGCAUUACGCCAUUGAAAAAUUCAAACAUACGCAUGUAAAGCAUAAGACAUUCUCGGUAUCCCAAGUGAUAAGCCAGAAAUUUGUUUCCAGUACUCAGGCUGAAGUUUGUUCAUGACUUAUCCUUUAUUAUUCCCAGUAGGGGUUGUUGGCCCACACGCCGCCUCAAUUAUUAUUUUCCCUAUUUCUGCCGAUGCUGACAGGCAUGAAAGUUUUCCGGUAUCCAGACCGAAGUGGCAUUCAGGCCAGUUUUCUGAUGUUCAGAUCAAAGAAGUUUCCGACGUUCAGGUCGAUGCAACUUGUGGCAUUCAGGCCAGUUUUCUGGUAUCCAGACUGAAGUGGCAUUCAGGCCAGUUUUCCGAUGUUCAGAUCGAAGAAGUUUUCGAUGUUCAGGUCGACGCAACUUGUGGCAUUUAGGCUAGUUUUCCGGUAUCCAGACCGAAGUGGCAUUCAGGCCAAUUUCCGGUAUUCCGACCGAAGUGGCAUUCAGGCCAGUUUUCCGGUAUCCAGAACGAAGUGGCAUUCAGGCCAGUUUUCCGGUAUCUAGACCGAAGUGGCAUUCAUGCCAAUUUUCCGAUGUUCAGAUCGAAGAAGUUUCCGACGUUCAGGUCGAUGCAACUUGUGGCAUUCAGGCCAGUUUGCCGGUAUUCAGACCGAAGUGGCGCUCAGGCCAAUUUCCCAGUGUUCAGACCAAUGUUUGAUAAUCUAGUAUCUUUCGAUGCUCAGAUCAGAGUCGUUUCCAGUAUUCAGAUUGAUGAGUGGCAUUCAGGCUAUGGUUAUUUCUGUGUUACCAUUUAUUUUGGUAUUCAGGCUAACAUUCCUUCUUUCGGUGUUCAGACCGAUUAUCACCGUAUUAGACGGAUUCUUUUUUCAAGACCAUUUCUUUGUCGAUCCUGACAAGCAUUAUUACUUCUUUUUUUCACUUCAGUGUAAAUUUUCGGGCUUUUAUUGUAUUCAAUCCCUUGAUACCUCGAAAGUGAGAAAGUCGUUGCUAUCUUCUUUUCGGGUCUCUAGUUGAUUGAAUAGGGGCAACUGUAAUACCCCAAAAUUUACCCUUCAUUUUUUCUGGAAGCAUGGGAUUAUGUUUUACAUUUCAUUAGCAUCAUACUAGGUCAUACUCAUUGCAUACUGCAUUAGUGACAUGGAAAUCAGGUUUUGAUUGAUCACUCCUUGACAGAAGGAGCCCACGCAAAGCAAGAUUGAGAAUUGGGCUUCAUUCUCUAAGCAUACAAGUCUCAAAGGUCUCAGGGGGAUCUAGGUGUCUUAUUAUGGUCCUUAGCUCAUCAGUGAAAGAUUCAGAGCUAUCAGAGUGUUCAUCAGGAUUUAAUCAAGAAAUUAGGGUUUCAUGGCUACCUGCAACAGGAAAUGUUUGGUUGGAAGUAGAGGAGCUCAUCCAUGUCAUGAUUGGAGAGGCAUCUUGGCCUAGGAAGACUCACAAUUAUCUCAGAAAGAUCCAUUAUACCUGCAACAGGAAAUGUUUGGUUGGAAGUAGAGGAGCUCAUCCAUGUCAUGAUUGGAGAGGCAUCUUGGCCUAGGAAGACUCACAAUUAUCUCAGAAAGAUCCAUUGGCAAGCAGUGCAAUCAGUCCCUGAUCAUUUUUUCCCUAAAAUUAGGGUUUGGUAAAAAAUCAGUUUAUUUCUUAUUCUUUGUGUGAAACUCUUUUCCAUGGCCCUCCGUAUGUCCACAAGGGUCUACAUACAAAAAAUCAGCUCUUUAUUUGAGUCAGAAGUACUUCAAUUGAUAAAUGGAAUCGGGAAUCAGACAGUUUGGGAAAAGUCAACUGUGGGGCCAGAAAAGUCAACUCUUGACAUUUUGAGAGUGGAAUCUCAAAAUCCAUGCCUAGGGGAUCCUACAUGUGAAAAUUUGAUCAAGGUUGGAUCUUGGAUUCAUCAUUUAAUCAGGAAUUGGAAAAGUUACGUAAUUUGGAAAUGGUUGACUUUCCAUUUAGGGCAAGUUUUCAUGAUUGUUGCACUCACUUUAAGCCCAUUUUCCAUCAAGAUAAAAGCUCCAUUUGAAAAUUUCUCCAACAUGAAAGUUGUUCCUCUUUGCUUCCAGCUCGUCUAUGAUAUAAAGUUUGCUCCAGUUUGGAUCAAAUUGAGAUAGUUAUGCUUGGUCAAAGUGAGACAUUUUUUAGGACACAUUAGAAAAUUUCUAAGUCCAAAGUCUUCAAAGUUUGUCAAGACUUCUUGGCCAGUUUUCUUGCACUUCAAGGCACAAUGAAAAUGUUUUCUUCACAACAAUUAUACCUUGCAUGUCCUCUUUCAACCUCCUUUUGGAAUCAUCUCAUUUGGAUCCAUGGUUUGAGAGAUGCAUUCAUCUAAAGUUGGCAUCAUGACUUGAAUUUCUAGGCAGCAUGUUAGGCCAAACUGGCCCAACCAUUUUGGCAUGGUGAGACCUGAUCUUGAGGCCCAUUUUUCACCUUCUUCCAUUCAUCAUUUCCACUUGUGCUCAACAUGAAAGAUGCUAUACUCCAUGAGGUCUUGCUAUUGUUUGCAUUAUUUCAUCAUUUGGUGGCUUGCUCAUCAAGAUACAUGGCCACAAAGUCACCAUCUUGGACUUAUUUCCUUGCCUGCCAAACCAGAUCAAUAAUGCUGCACAAACCAAGCCAGUUUUCUGUUUUCCUCAUUUGGCCAUGCACUUUUUUUUCCACCCACUUAAACUUUGCCAAAAUAAGCAACUUUCUAACACCACCUCACUUUACAUCUUUUGCUCAUAAACUAAAACAGAUUGUGUAAGAGCCCAUUAACAAUAUAUGACCCAUCAUAUUUAAGCACAAAAACCCUAAAUCUGAAGGCCAUAAUGAAUUUUCGAACUAAGCAAGGAGGGAGUUCAUUCAAGUCAGAUUUCAUUCCUUUUCCUUUUCUCAAAGUUGAAGUUUCAAAGCACCAUUCUUCUUCCAUUUUCUCCACAACCAAGAGGCAGUGGACUUGGCUUCCACGAGGUAAUCAUCUUACUCCUUCUUCCAUGGCCAUGUAUAGCUUGUUAUGCUCAUCAUUAUGCUUGCUUCAUGCCAUUACCAUGCUCAUCAUCAUGCUGGUUUCCAUGUUAAUAUUAUGUUAUGCUCAUUUCUGAAGCCCUCAACAUGAGGCAAUGUUCAUGUUGUGGAUUUGUUUUGUUUAUUUCUGCUCACACUCGUGGCAUGUUGUCCUCUUGUUGUCAAUAUUUCUCCAUGAUUAAGCCAUCAUUUAACCAAAAACAAGUCAUCACGUUAAUCCUUGCAUUUCAUACUUGAUGUCUGGUUUUUAUUUCAUGUCUUUUGGUGCACUAUGGCAUGCGCAUUCUUGAGUGGAAGUUUGGAAAAACUCACUUCAUUUUCGCGAUUUCUGCAUGAUUAUGGCAUUAGGGUUUGGUUUGAGGAAGGAGAUUAUUACGUGUCAUCUUAGGAACCGUUAGAUCUAAGGCAUGUGUUUUAAUCCUGGCCAUUUAUUUGUUUUUGUCCUCUAGUGACUUAAGUACCCGUGACCAAUUGAUACAAGGUUACAUGAUUUAAUUUAUUAAAAUGUUAUUUGUUGUCACGCUCGUUUAACAACUGUUUGGACUGGGCCUGCGCUUUCCUGCUUUCCACACCCCCACGUUCCAGGGCCCAUCAGCACUAAUACUUUCUCUUUUCAUUUUCUUUUUUUAAUUUCCAUUUAUUUGCUGUUUUGUUUUAAUUAUUUUAAAAUAUUUUCAUUAUUCAUAAAAAUCCCCAAAAAUAUUGUCCACAUUUCUUAAUGCCUUAUUUAAUUUUAUUUAAUUUUUAUUUUCGUAUUUAUUUAAUGUUAAUAUUUUAUUUCAAUUAUUAAUUCUAAAUGGUUCUAUUUAUUUAAUUUUUAUUUUCGUAUUUAUUUAAUGUUAAUAUUUUAUUUCAAUUAUUAAUUCUAAAUGGUUCUUUUAAGCAUACCUUUAAUUCUUGAUUUUAUUUUCAUGGCUUAAAAUUAUUUUUAGGCUUUGAUUUUUGGGAUGAAGGUUGACCAGUGUCCCAUGGUCAACCUGACCUUUUGUUGAAUUUUUAUUUCACAAUUUUCUAUUUAUUUGAUAAUUAUUUUGGUUGGUUGACUUUUAGUUUGACCUCUAUUUUAUUUCAAUUGAUUUAUACACCAAUUUUCAUUAUUUUUAAAAUCUUUUUGGGGGAUGAUGAUGUCCUGACCCCACCUUAUUUAGUUUAUUUUUUCAGAAUUUUCUUGAUUAAUUUUCUAUUUAUUUGACAUUUUUUAAGUUGACUUGAAUUUUCAGUUGACUUCUUUACGAUCGAUGUUUGACUUAGGGAUUGCUUAUGGCAAUUGAAGAGACCUUUUGAUCCUCCCUUGUUCAUCUCAUAUGCCAUGUAUUAGAGGCCUUUCAUCUUGAUUUUAUUUGGUCCUUACCUCAUUUCCUGAUUAAAUUAUUCAGUGAACCCUUUUUAUGCAUCUUUUCAUCUGUCUAAUUCAUCUAUCAUCUUUUAUACUUGUUUCUUUCAUCCAUGUUCACUAUUGUUUGAUUGUUUAACAUGUUCAUACUUCCCAUGCAUUGUUUAAAUGCUCCUUUAUUUCAUUCUUUGAUUCUUUGACUUGAUUAUACACUUGUUUACUUAUCUGAUUUGAUUGAUAAUUGUUGCCUACUUGUAUGAUGAUUGAGGCAUAUAUUCUUAUUGUUUGAUUGCCAUGAACCAUCCCCAUUCAUAACAAAUGUACCCCUCUCCCAUAAAAUGUUUACUUAUCUGAUUUGAUUGAUAAUUGUUGCCUACUUGUAUGAUGAUUGAGGCAUAUAUUCUUAUUGUUUGAUUGCCAUGAACCAUCCCCAUUCAUAACAAAUGUACCCCUCUCCCAUAAAGUGUAUAAUAUUUAUUCUUUAAUUCUUUAUUCAUCUGUUAAUACAAGAAUUAAAACAAACAUCCGAUAAUCAUUUCAAAACAAGAUCAAAAGCUCGAUCCAACGUCGAGUAAUCAUUUUCAAAACUUAACAAAACCAGCACGUUUUCAUUCAUCCUCUUGUAAGUCGAUCGCCUCAGGCAUCACCAUUUCUCUUGUAAGUCGAUUGCUUCAGGCAUCGCCAUCUACCUCUUGUAAGUCGAUUGCUUCAUGCAUCGCCAUCUACCCUUAUCCGUGGCUCCUCUCCUUGCUCCAUCCGUCGACUCUUGUUCCGUUUAGGUAGCACCCAUUAGGUAGAACCAUUUGUAUGAUAACAUAGGUAGAAUUCCCUUAUUCUUUGCAUGCUAACAUUAGGUAGAUGUUCCCCGUUUUACAUCCUAACACAUAGGUCCAUAUUGCAUGACAACUCUAGGGCAGAGCCUCCCCACUUUUAGACCUUCCGUGCGUCUCCGAUCUUGUGGCAUGUCAAUCCGUUCUAUUGCAAAAGAGGUAACUGCCUAAGACUCAAUUCAGCGAGCUGCGACACCUACUGCUAGGACGUUGAACACAUUGCCCACUUUCCUUUGACACAGCUGGUGUCCUCUUUUGUAAGUCCAUGUUCAGAUGGCAAAUGCCUAAGACUCAAUUCAGCGAGCUGCGACACCUACUGCUAGGACGUUGAACACAUUGCCCACUUUCCUUUGACACAGCUGGUGUCCUCUUUUGUAAGUCCAUGUUCAGAUGGCAAUCCUUAACCCCCUAGUUAGGCGAACUACGAUAACUCUGAUUCUCAUGUUCAUAUGAGAUACGUAGGCACGAGAUACGAUGUCUUGUCGAGUUUUUUGACUGACGACUAACAACUAAUCUUUGCUUGCUUUCGCCCUUGUUGCGAUUCUUUUCUCUCGCCCUCAUUGCGAUUGAGACCUUCCCUUUCUCUUGCCCUAGUUGCAAUCGAGACCUUUGUUCCCGUAGUUAGCUGAACUACGUUUUGCUCUGAUUCUCAUCCCAGAUAAGAUACGUAGGCAUAAGACGCGAUGUCUUACCGAGCACACUUCUUCUUAACCCAUAGGUAGCCGAGCUACGAAGACUCUGAUUCUCAUACUCAGAUGAGAUACGUAGGCAGUGGAUGCGACAUCCUUGCAAGUCAUUUUCUUUUGACCUUCUUUUAGUAAGUAGUACUUUAGAUAUACCAACACCCUUUUGACGAGAACAACAAGAGUGGAUCCCGUAGAGUACUACGGAUGCGUAGGGGUGCUAAUACCUUCCCUUCGCAUAAUCGACUCCCGAACCAAAGAUUUGGUUGCGAGACCUUGUCUUUUCCUUCUCUUCAGGUUUUCUUUGAUCGUUUCCUUUCCCUUCUUUGGGAUAAAUAACGAACGGUGGUGACUCUUUUGUUUCUUUUUCUUCGCUAGUUGUAUUUUUUUGCACCAGUUGCGACACCUACUUUUCACAUUUUGUUGUAUUGUAUUGUAUAUUGUUUUGUGACAUAUUUUUGUGCAAUUUGGGAUUACUGUAUUGUAUGUAAUGAUUGAAUUGCUUGAAUAUUAAUUCCUUGUAUGCUUGGUGGUCUUUGAGAGAUGAGUUCUAUACCCGAACUAGAGUGCACUUAGGAUAGGAGAAUGGCAUAGUCUUGUUGACUUAUGGGGAGUUAUUCCUUAGCAAGUUGGCUUGCAAGCCCAUUCACUUGGUGGAGGUCAUGUUGAGAUCAAUAAUGUCACACAAGUAGUUGUGGUUAGACAUUACUCUUUCCAAUAUAGGCCUUAGAAGCCAAGGACCUUAGUUUACCAAGCCCAUCUUGGCCUAUUCUUAGGAUGUAGUACGAAAGACGGUCAAGUGUAAGAUUUGAUACGAUUGUUACGCGAUACUACACUCAUAAGAGUCUCUCUUGAGAAUAUUUUUGGAAUACGAGUAGUUGUUUAUCCGAUAAUAUCCGAAAGAUGGGAUGAUGACUAUGGGAGCGAUACUACACUCAUAAGAGUCUCUCUUGAGAAUAUUUUUGGAAUACGAGUAGUUGUUUAUCCGAUAAUAUCCGAAAGAUGGGAUGAUGACUAUGGGAACCUCUUGUAGAACAUGUUUGGCAGGUUCAAACCCUAGUACACUCCCUUUGGGUGGUUCUUAACCGAGACUCCAUGCUCGUGACUUGCAACAAACCCUUGAUUCGUGGUUGAUCCGUUCUUGUAUCCUUAAUAUCAAUGGAACUUGGGUGUUGAUAAGAUGUAAACCAUAAUCCACCAAAAUGGAUGAUUGAUAUUAAGGAUAACAUGAUCUAUCCCAUGACCUUUGUUUGGUGUGCUUUGCUUGAUCCUUGAGUGUGAUUGUUGCAUUCAUGCAUUAGUGCACCCAUUUGCAUCCAUAGCAUCAAUAAUGAGAAAAUUUUCAAGGAACAUAAGAGGUCUAUUUGCAAAUUUUCAGACAUGGAAAGACAAAGAAGGAAUACAAAGUAGUACAGUUUCAGACAACCUGACUUGAAAGUGCUAAGGAAUUUGACAUCCUAUGUAUUAGAUCCCUUGGGUUUCAAGGCUCGUUUUGGGAAGCUUUUAUCCGUUCUGACUACUCAGGUGGACGAAGAAUUGAUGAGUGUAUUGGUGCAGUUUUAUGAUCCCUUGUACCGUUGCUUCACAUUUCCGGAUUUCCAGCUUUUGCCCACGCUUGAGGAGUAUGCCUACCUUGUGGGUAUACCCAUUCUAGACCAGUUUCCGUUUAGUGGCUUAGAGAGUGUUCCUACUUCUCAAGAGAUAGCUGCUAUGUUGCAUAUAGAUGAAUCUAUGGUUGUUGCUCAUAUGACUACCAAAGGCGGAAUUCAAGGUCUCCCUUUUGAGUUCCUCAUUGCUCAAGCUACUAUGUAUGGGAAGGCCAUGAUUGAGGACGCCUUUGAGGCCAUAUUUUUACUUCUCAUCUAUGGGCUAGUGUUAUUCCCCAACAUCGAUAAGUUUGUGGAUGUGAACGUUAUUAGGAUUUUCUCUACUCUUAAUCCCGUUCCAACUCUGUUGGGUGACACUUACUUUUCUUUGCAUAUGAGGAAUGCAAAGGGUGGUGGUACCAUUGUAUGUUGUUUGUGUAACACCCUUCUAAAAUACCCCAAAAUAUUUAAUUAAAAUAGCAAUAUGUCAAUCAGAGUAAUUAUGCAACUAAGGGUGUCACACAAUCAUUUCACACCAUUUUCCAAAAUAUCCUGUCAUGCUCAUUUAUUUAAUCAAAAUAAAACAUUCGCAUAAUACGCAGCGGAUACAAACUAACAAUAUUCAAACCAUGUAAUACAUUACAUGUAAAGUUGUUCAACAAUCAAAUGAAAACAUAAUAAAACAUCCCGUCCCGAUGUUACAUCUACCAGAGCAUGACCCACUAAGGAACUACACUAGACUCCAAGGACUAGCUUCUACUCAAUCACUGCUCGUUACCUGAAAAAUAGUUGUAAGGGUGAGUUCCUCAAUCGAUAUAAUAAGCAUUAUAAAUUAACAUGUAAUGCCAAGUAAUUUCACACAUUCAUCACCCUAAUCAGAUCAUACAUUCAGCAACGGCAACAUCAACUAAAAUCAUACUCAACUCAACCACAAAACACACGUAUAAUAUUGGAAUACAUCCAUUCAUAUUAUACGCCAUACAAUACAAAUGCAAUGAGACUCCAUGCAUGCGGUACCGACUAUUUGUGAACAUAUAGUUCACCUCACCGUCCAAAUCCAGGCACGGCUACCAAGCCCACCUAGUCCCACUCAUUUGAGACCUAGUGACUCACUCACUAAUUCCUCACCANNNNNNNNNNNNNNNNNNNNNNNNNNNNNNNNNNNNNNNNNNNNNNNNNNNNNNNNNNNNNNNNNNNNNNNNNNNNNNNNNNNNNNNNNNNNNNNNNNNNNNNNNNNNNNNNNNNNNNNNNNNNNNNNNNNNNNNNNNNNNNNNNNNNNNNNNNNNNNNNNNNNNNNNNNNNNNNNNNNNNNNNNNNNNNNNNNNNNNNNNNNNNNNNNNNNNNNNNNNNNNNNNNNNNNNNNNNNNNNNNNNNNNNNNNNNNNNNNNNNNNNNNNNNNNNNNNNNNNNNNNNNNNNNNNNNNNNNNNNNNNNNNNNNNNNNNNNNNNNNNNNNNNNNNNNNNNNNNNNNNNNNNNNNNNNNGUAUCAGUUAUGUGUGCAUUUGUGAAUAGACUGUUUUAUGGCUUAGAGUGUGAGCAUAUGUCUAUUCGUGAAUUGUGGUUGAUGAUUUAGCAUUGCUAGGUGAUUAGCAUGCAUAUUGUGGCCUUAUGGUGGUAGCUAAUUCCCAUGGUGAGGAAUUAGUGAGUUAGUCAUUUUGGACUGUUGUUGAUGUUUGCAUGCUAGGUGAAUUAGCGUGCAUAGCAUGGCCCUUGGGGUGGUAGCUAAUUCCCAUGGUGAGGAAUUAGUGAGUGAGUCACUAAGUCUCAAAUGAAGUGGACUAGUGGCUGGGCUGGUCAGCUCGAGGCCUUAUGGGGCUAGUGGGAACUGGUGCCGUGCCUGUAAUUGAUUGAGACGGGUCGAGGUGACCUAUAUGUUACAAAUAGUCGAAGAAUAGACAUAUGCUCACACUCUAAGCCAUAAAACAGUCUAUUCACAAAUGCACACAUAACUGAUACAUUCACAGGAUCAUGCAUACCAUCACACAUCAUCAGUAUUUUAUCACAUAAGCAUAUCAUAUCAUGCCAAAUAACAACCACAGUAUUAGCACACUCUACUAAUACCUAUACUACUCAAAACGACGGGGAAUGAGCCCUAAUAUAUCAUACAUCAGCUAAAUUACAUUACUCAGCUGAACAGCUAAAAACUGCACAACAACAGCUCAGGAAAAUCACAAGUCUGCUCAUACGCGUAUUACCUAGUCCCAUACGCGUAUGGCCCAUUUCUCAGCCAAAACCCAUACGCGUAACACCAUCCCAUACGCGUAUGCUACGCGUACCACAACCCCAUACGCGUACCAACAGAGACCAAAACACGUUCAAAACAUCAUCUUCCUCAUCCAUACGCGUAUUGCCUAGUGCCAUACGCGUACCAGACCAUCUCAUACGCGUAUUGCCUAGUGCCAUACGCGUAUGACCAGAAACCAGAUUUCCAGAUCUGCUAUGGUCUUCUCUGCUACGAGAUCUACCAAUUUCCAACCUCCUACAAUCCAAUUUUUCACAUUAUUCGUUCAUAUCCUCUAACACAAUUCAUACCCUAUUCGAUUUCACAAAAUCUAACAUUAUUACAUUAAUUCCUACGAAUUUCCUUCAUUUAUAAUCCAAAUUUCGUUCAUCCAAUACUUCACAAUUUCAUCAUACGUCAUUCCAAUCAGAGGUAAAUCAAUGGUUUAUCACUACCCAGUACAUAUUAUCCCAUAAUACCCAUUAAACGAUGAUAAACCCCCCUUACCUGAGUUAAUCCGGCGAAUCUUUAAGCUCCAAGCUCUUCCUCUCUUCAACCCUUGUUUUCUGGCUCUCUUUGCCCCUUUUCCACUUUUCUGUCCCUUUUCCCUUUUCACGUGAAAAAAAUAAACCUUUUACCAAAAUGGGACCUUUUCUAAAUUCCAACUUUUAUUCCAAUAAUUAUUAUUCCAAUAAAAUACUAACCCAAUAAUAAUAAUUCCAAUAAUAACAUUCCAAUUAUUUAAUUAAAUUAAUAAAUAUAUUAUUAACUUAAAUUAAAUAAUUAUCUUAUUUUAUCGGGGUGUUACAGUUUGCCUCUGUUGUACAAGUGGUUUAUUUUGCACUUGCCAUAGACGGUCGCCUUCAAGGAGAACAAAGGAUGUCUACGGUGGUCCCCGAGACUGAUGUCUCUCACUAAUGAUGAUAUCUUUUCGUACAACCGUGUAUAUGAUGGUAUGCAGAUUAUUGACUCUUGUGGUGAAUUCUCCAAUGUGUCUCUUCUUGGUACAUGUGGUGGGAUUAACUACAACCCCGUUUUGGCACGUCGUCAUCUUGGGUUCCCCCUAAAGGAUAAACCCAAUAACAUUCUGUUAGAGGGUGUGUUCUUUCAGGAAAGUAAAGAUCCCUAAUGCUUGAAGGGCAGGAUUGUCCGCGCUUGGCGCAAGAGCCAUAGGAAAGGAAGGAAGGAGCUAGGUCCAAAGAACUGUAUCGCUUUGGAGCCUUAUACUUCUUGGGUUAGGGGGAGAGCUUCCGAGUAUCUCAUGCCUUACGAGUAUCCAAGACCUACACCCUUGGUUAUGGCUGGGCCUUCAACCCUCCCUGACCAAGGAGUAGAGGAGUUGAGAGACGAGGAUCGUUCGCGUGCUUGGAUCCAUGAACGAGAGGAGUUGCUUCAGCAGAUCAAGGAAAAGGAUGUUUUGAUAGAGUUCCUCGAGCACCAGGUUAUAGAUGAUCCUGAUGAUGCAUGGACUUCUCUACUUCCUCAAUCUUCCAAAUUUUGGAAGAGGAAGUAUUAUCGACUUGCUAAAGAGAAGGCAGACAUGGAGGCAACCUAUGAGAGGGAGGUGAAGAGGCUUCGUGCGUCCUAUCUUCCAGUCUCCAGAGCUUUAGAUGAUUGCUUCUAGAGUUCCAUAGAAUGAUCAUUUUCCUUCUCUCUUGUAUUAUAUUUGGUUACCAAGACUGUACUUCUUUGGUGUAAAAAUAUUUUCCAGAUAUUAUUUGAUGUAAUAUUUCCAUGUGUGAUAAAUGUUUAAUAUUCCCAAAUAUUUGCAAAUAGGACUCUAAAGUUCCUCUGAUAUAAAAAAUUAAAUCAUAUGCAUUGCAUGCAUCAUGUGCAUAAGCAGGUUUUGCUCCAGGCUAACUUUGUGUUCUUCAUUUAUUUGAAGACAAGCUGACUCACCGGUACUACACCCGAGCCAACGCAUCAAGACUAAUGGAUCAUUUGGAACCACAUAACCGUGAGCUUAAGGAGGAAGUAGCCAGAUUGACUGCCCUGAUGGAGUCAUUCAUGGCUGCCCAGAGCCAGUCAUCUCCGACACCUUCAACUCCUCCGCAGAGGAUAGUCAUCUCCGAGAUUGUCUCUUUAACUGUGCCUGCGGCCAGCACACACUUCACACCAACAGCCAUGCCAUUCGGGUUUUUGUGGGGAAUGCCACCCAACUUCAUGCCUGAGGGUCAUGCACCCACUUUUGCUUCUCUGCCGGCAUCUAGCCCGGUCCUAGCUGUUCCUCCUCAUGUCGUGUAUACUAUGCCUAGAGUAGACGACACCAUCUACCAUUCUGAGCCGUCUGAUGGCCUAGAUGUCUAUGAAAAGAUGGAUGCUAUGAAUGACCAAUUUCUUGAGCUCCGCAAGGAAUUGAAAACUAUUCGAGGAAAUGACCUUUUUGGCAAGUCUGCUGCUGAACUCUGCCUGGUUCCGAAUGUUAAAAUCCCUGUAAAGUUCAAGGUCUCUGACUUUGAAAAGUACAAGGGAAAUACUUGCCCUCUCAGCCACCUGGUCUAGUACGCCAGGAAGAUGUCGACUCAGACCGACAAUGACCAACUUCUCAUUCACUACUUCCAGGACAGUUUAUCCGGUGCUGCCCUAAGAUGGUAUAUGGAUUUGGACAGCGCGAAUAUCUGAUCCUUCAAUGACCUUGGCGAGGCCUUCGACAAGCAAUAUAAGUAUAACGUGGAUAUGGCUCCCGAUAGGGAUCAAUUGAGAGCCAUGUCCCAGAAGGACAAGGAAACUUUCAAAGAAUACGCCCAGAGGUGGAGAGAGGUAGCAACACAGAUUGUGCCCCCGCUGGAGGAGAAAGAGAUGACCAAGAUCUUUCUGAAGACCUUGAGUUCUUUUUAUUACGAGCGGAUGAUUGCCAACGCUCCUUCUGACUUCACCGAGAUGGUGAACAUGGGGAUGCGUCUGGAAGAAGGAGUCAGGGAAGGGCGCCUGACCAGAGAAGAAGGCUCUUUUGCCAAACGGUAUGGGACGUUUGGGAAGAAGAAAGAUGGCGAGGCGCAUGUUGUGACCUCCCAUGUUAAACCAAGAAGACCCUCGGUGAGGAGGAAGACCGCGCGUCCUGCCGGUAACUAGCAUCAGGUGGCUCACAUAGCGCCUAUUUUCAGAGAUAAUCAACAGUAUCAGCAUCACAAUAAUAAUCAGCAACAAUCACAUCCGCAAUAUCAACAACAACAACACCGUCCUUAACAGCAGGCCUACCAGCCUCGAAACAGUAAUCAAGCCGAAUUAUAUGACAUAUGCCGAAACAAUACAAGUUAUGAAAGGAAGAGGGUUACCUUCGAUCCUAUUCCUAUGACAUAUGCCGAAUUAUAUCCCUCUUUGAUAGAGAGGAAGUUGAUUACUCCACGAGACCCACCGACUAUACCUACUAACCCCCAGUGGUGGUAUAAGCCCGAAUUACACUGUGUUUAUCAUUCCGGAGCUCCCGGACAUGACGUGGAAAACUGCUACCCACUGAAGACCAAGGUUCAAGACCUUGUGAGAUGCGUUAUUUUGUGUUUCGAGGACGUAGGUCCCAAUGUGAAGAAAAACCCAUUGCCCGAGCAUGGGAAAUCUGUCAACAUGGUCUAUGGCUGUCCUGGUAAGUACAAAGUCAAAUAUGUCAGCCAUAUUCUACAAUCUUUGGUCGAGAUGCACAGACUGCUGUGUGAGUAUAGUCAUUACGAGCACGACCACGAUAGAUGUCGAGUCUGCACUGUUAAUCAAAGAGGAUGUCGCCAAGUACGCAAAGGUGUUCAAGAAAUGCUGGAUGAAGGAGUCAUUGAGAUACUUCAGAACAUAAAUGUUGAUGAAGAUGCUGAUGAAGUCAAUGUAAUUUCUCCAGUAUUCCGAAUCCCUGAGCCUGUUAUUAUCAAGUACGAUGGUAGCAAGCAAAAGGCUUCUCCUUCUUUGACCAUUAAACCGACUGGCCCUGUGCCAUACUCUUCUUAGAAUGCAGUCCCCUAUCGCUACAAUGUUGUAGCAUUAGAGAAUGGGAAAGAGGUUCCCCUACCCUCUACAUCUGUUGUUAAUAUUAUCGACGUCAGCGGUUUGACCCGUAGCGGUCGUGUCUUCUCGGCUCCGCCGAAACCUCAAGCUGAUGUUCGAAGAGCCAAUGUUGCUGAUUAUGCUGAACGACCGUUUGGGAAUACUGUGAACGCUCUGAAUCCGGAACUUGUCGCCAAACCUACCUCCGUUGUAAAAACUCCUGUCUUUGUUGGCCAGAGUGGCAAUGCGAAAGAAGACUGUGAUGAGAUGCUGAGGCUCAUGAAAAGAAGUGAGUAGAACGUGGUAGAUCAGCUUCUAUAGACGCCAUCCAAAAUCUUUGUACUAUCCUUGCUGAUGAAUUCAGAACCACACCGAGAAGCUCUGCAAAAGGUGUUGGAUGUGGCGUAUGUGAAUCACGACGUCACAAUAGAAUAAUUUGACAGUAUUGUUGCAAACAUCACUGCUUGUAACAAUUUGAGUUUUUGUGAUGCUGAUCUCCCCGAGGAGGGAAGAGACCACAAUCUGGCACUACACAUCUCCAUGAGCUGCAAAGAUGACGCCAUUUCCAAUGUGCUAGUGGACACUGGUGUAACACCUCAAAAUUUGGCCUCCUCUCUUGGGACUAGCUUAACAUAUUGCAUUGCAUUUUUAGGUCAUUAGGCAUUGCAUAUUGCAUAUCAUGUGGUUACAUUGUGCAAAUCAUCCUCACAAGUCUUGAUCAGAAGAUGAAGAGGUUAUGUGCAAGCUAGGGUUUCAUUGGACUGGUCAUUAAGGCAUUGCAUAUUGCAUAUCAUGUGGUUACAUUGUGCAAAUCAUCCUCACAAGUCUUGAUCAGAAGAUGAAGAGGUUAUGUGCAAGCUAGGGUUUCAUUGGACUGGUCAUUAAUCAUCUGAGGAUGGAAGUCCAAAUUAGGGUUUUUGAUUCUCAAAGGGAUUGGUCUACAUCUUGGUUGCAAUGAUACAUCAUCAUCAUCAUGGUCUUGAUAUCAUCCAAGAGAUUCAAGUGUUUGAUCAUAUACCUUGAGAUUAGGGUUUUGACCACUGGUCAACCCUAAUCAGUUGCAGUGAGCCAAUCAGGGCAUGGCAAGGAGAUGGGGUCUACAAUGGAUAUGGGGAUCAUUUCAUGUGAUUAUAUUGAGCUUGUGGAGGCUAGGGUUUUAUCCUUGAGCCAUUUCAUCAGAAGAUUGGGGCUCAACUUGAUCAGUGCAUUGCCAAAUUCAUCUAUCAGUGGAAAAAGUCAACUGUGCUUGAUUUUAUGGAUUUGGAGGUGGGAGAGAGUUGGAUACACUUCAUUCAUGUUGAAACAAGUUUCAUUUGACAUGUCAAAGCUCAAGAAUGAAGAAAAUAAAGUCAGGAGAACAAAUUGCCAAAAAUAGAAAGUGACUUGUAAUGAAAGUUUCCAAAAUGGAAAGUUUUUUCAAACCACAAAAUACAUGUCCAAAAGCUUCACAAUGAAAUUUGUUCAACAUAAAGUGUUAGAUUGCUCUCACCUUUCCAAAAAGUCCAAGAACUUGAAAUUCCCAUGUAUGGUUGGCAAGUUAUGGUCCAUUCAUUUUCCAAAAAGGCCUAUAAUCAAAGUGGCAUAACUUUCACAUGGAAUGUCCAAUUUGGGUGAUCUUUUUAUGAGCAAACCCCAUUUCACAUGUACUUUCAUGGUGUAUGGUCCAAAUUCAUCAAAAAUACUCAUAGCAAAAAGUCAAAUUUCAAGUGGACUUAAGUGCAUUUUUGGUGUGAACAUGUGAAUUUGAGCAAUACAAGGAAUUUGGACAUGAGAACCAUUCCAACACACUCCAAAUAUCAUUUAGAAGUUGUAUGAUCUGUCAUGAGCUGUCAUAGUGCACAAUUUGGAAAGGUCACGUUUACCCUUGCAUUAAGAAAUUCAUUAACACUAAUCCAUUCCAAUUUUGAUAAUUUGGAUUAACAAGGUGAUUAAGGCAUUGGUAUAAAUGGUUAAUUGUAACAGAAAUGCUAAUGACAAUCACAAUCCUCAAGAUCCAUAACAGAAUUUCACCAAAAACCUCUCAAAUUCUCUCAAAAUCCUCAUCACUUUUUUUCAUCAAUCUUCGUCAAUUCUUCAUCAAUUGGCACGAUUUUUCUUUGGUUCAUCUUCUACAAGCAUAAACUCCAUCUGUUUUGCUGAAUCAAGGCCAAAAACUCCAAGAUCAAGGACUGUCCGAAGCUUGUGCAUUAAUGGAGUUUUGAAGAUUCUUCCACUUGAAGCAACCUUGAGCUAACCUAAUCUUUCCAAUCAUCUUCCUCAUCACUUAGCUUCAUCUGUUUUGGCAAAUUACACGUGGAAACGACCAAAUCGAGCACUGCUAUCAACCUAAGGUCAGUUUUCGAAUUUCUCUUUUGCUUAAAUUAAUAGGUGGCUUUUAUAGAUCUUUCAGUGUAGAUGAGCAUGAUGUGAUUAGUUUUUGAAUUGGUUAACUGUGGAGAGAGUAAUCACGUUUGGAAGUUUGAUGUGCGUUUCUUCUUUUGAUCGAUCCCUUCGCCAUGGUUAGAAUUAGGUUGAAUGAGUUACAUAUCUUGGAUCUAUGUUGAGAGACGGUUCUAGUGAUUAUGAAUUUGUUGAUUUUGGUGAAGAUUCAAUGUUCUUGAUUUUUCUGGAAAUUUGAGUGUGUUCUUGUGAAGAACACGAUGGAAUAGUGAGUUUGAUCUUCUAAUUCGCCUUGCUUUGUUUGAAUCAUGUUUCUCGCCUUCUUUUAACCAAUUAGCGCGUGCCACUGAAAAAAUGCCAACGACGUCGUUUGGCUUUGGUUCCUCAGAAUUACCAACGUGUCAUUGCUGUAUUUAAUUAAUUAUAUUAUUUCAUUUCUUUUUUCAUUUUAUUUUCAUUUGAUGCCAUGAACUUAGAAAAAUCAUAGAGGAUUCAUUUCUUAUCCAAUUUUGGUGAGAUUUUUUGCAUAAUACUCCUGAUGAUGUGGAGAAUUUGAUUACGAUUUUUGUGGAAUUUUUGCAUGUGUAGAAAAUUAAUUGGCUUAGGGUUUGUUUGAUGUUGUCACAUUUGCACAUACCAUGCCAUAUCUAUCAUGAAAUGAUGAUGCUUUCACAUAAAUGAUUGAAAUUUUUUGUGCUUGUCUUGGACUCAUUGCUGGUGAUUUUCAUGUGUGGUUUGUAAUUUUUGGAUACAUGGUUGAUGAGUUAUGAAUUUUUUGAUUAGAGGUGUGACAAUUUGUGUCACACCAAGCUAGGUCAACUUCUUGAUUUUGUUUAAAAUGCUUAGGGAUGUUGAUUUGAGCUGAAAUUUUGUGUGGAUGAUCAUAUGAAUGUCAAGAUUAUAUGUGAAUUUUUCUGGAUUUUUUUGAUGUCAUUUUUUAAUUGAUUGAUAAUUUUCUUCUCUGUUGGCUCAUUUUGUGAGUUUGUGUGACACAUGUUGGCAUUGUGCUUGUGAAAUUCUCAUAGUGUAUUGGAUGAAGAUGAAAUUUGACAUGUGGAUUGUAGACACAUUAUAGGACAUUAUGGUUUUGAUCCCAUUCAUUUAUCUUGUUGUGACACUGUUUUGUGAUUUUUGGAAGUUGAUGUUUGUUUGGAUACCAUGUUUUGGCUUGUUUGAAAUUGUCUGAACUUCUUGAUUUUCAUUGACCUACUUCCUUUUGUCCAAUUGAGCUGAAAAUUGACAUGCUAUGCAUUGAAUGUGUCCUGUUUAGGUGUGAAUUUUUGUGGAUUGUCCAAUUGAGCUGAAAAUUGACAUGCUAUGCAUUGAAUGUGUCCUGUUUAGGUGUGAAUUUUUGUGGAAUUAAUUGAAUUGUUUUGGUAUGCUUUUGGUUGAGAUAGUUCUGUUUGGUCAUUUGGAGUUGCAAAUUGUAUGUUUGAUGUUAUUUUGUGCAUAAAAUGAUAAUGGUGAAUGAUAUGAGCAUGGGACCAAUUGCAUUUGCUUCUAAAUUGUUUGAAUGUGAUUUUGGAUAAUUUUCACUUGCUGUUUUGGAUUUUUUAUCCCCUUUGGACCCUAGGCUUGGCCUAGUGGUCUAGUUUCUCAUGAUUGGUUUGGAUUUUCAGGUUGAAAUGCAAAAGGCUUAAGGAGAAAAUUGCAAGCUGAUUAAAUUGAGUUUGUUUGAUGUUGUCAACUAACAUUGAUUUUGUGUUGUAGGAUUUGAUGCUUGAGCUUGGGCUCAUAGCUUGCACUUGUGUGCAUGAAUUUGUGUUUGACUGUACAGAUUAACAUUUGCUGUUUACUGUUGGUUUGUCUGAGUACUGAUGAUACUUGAUUGAUUUCACGUACAUUAAGUCGCUUACAGUUCUUUAAGAACUUGCUUGCUGCUGCUUGGUUGUAUAAACCAGUUGAGGUAGACUCUCUUGUCUCCAUGUAGUCUGGAAGACCUGGCUUGUUAUUUAGCCAGGCAAACUGUCUGAAGUCCUCCUUAAGACGCGAUGUUUGUGAUUGUUUACUUUUGUGCCAAGCAGGUAAAGACCUCUAUGAGGCAUUGGCGGAACCCAAGGGAUAUGCAAUCUAUCCCGCUAUUCGUUGAGUCGUCCCUCUGCUCACACCACUGUGUUGAUGCUUGGGACAUAACCAAGAUCUUAUGCUGUUGCAUAGUCGAGUCAGAGUCUUUGAGCGUAGAAGGGUCCCUCCAUUCUGGACCCACGCUCCUUUGUCUGAAGCUCUCCCUGGCCAGGGAUAAGAGCUUGUGAAGUCUAAUCUUCAACUCACCUUUCAUCUGCUUCACCCCUGACUCAAUGGUCAGGGUAAGAGCGACCACUACUCUGUAACAGAUGAUUUCGGCAGUCCAACCUUGUUUGAGCCUCACUUGACUGGAUAAGUGUGUGAUUUGUGAAUAUUGUUUGAAAUGUUUGUUUUUGAUUUUUGAUGCUUGCUUGCUUUCUUCCUGGAUAGGAUUAGCUUGCUGUUGUGCAAGUAGGUAGAAACCAUAACAUAGGGCAAUGAUUAUGAUAACACUAGGCUCGAGUACAGCUCCUAGUAGUGUGUCUCCCCUUGGUUUCUGGCUAGAAUUUCUUUCCCUUUUGGGGGAACUACGUCGCCCUGAUCCUGAUACCAGGAUAGGUACGUAGGCCAGGAGACCGUGCGAGUCUCUCCGGGCACUUUCUUUCUUUUGUGUGUGUGCUUGACGGUUAAUAGGCUCGAGUUCCCGCUCCCAUUAACUCGUUUGGUUGUUUGUGUGCUUGGAAGCUGAUGUAAGUCCAUCGAGUGGCAUUCGGGUUCCAGUUGCGUGUGUUUGGUUCGGAUGCCGAUGUAAGUCCAGUGAUUGGCGUUCGGUGCUCCACGUUGCCUUUUUGUGUAUGUUUGGUUCGGAUGCUGAUGUAAGUCCAGUGUUUGGCAUUCAGGCUCCAUGUUUGCUUGUUUGUGUGGUCUUGUUUGGCGUGCGUGAGCCGAAUCUACAGUAGCUCUGAUUCUCGUUCCAGACGAGAUAUGUAGGCAUAGGAUGCGAUGUCCUAGCGAGCCCUUCUUCCUCUUAACCCCACAUGUGUUCCUUGAGUGUGUGUGUGGGUGUUUUAGCAACCUUUUCUUUCUUAGAGCGUGGAUCCCGUCGAGUACGACGGGACCGUGAGGGGUGCUAACUCCCCUUGCGUAACCGACUCCCGUACCCUUUCUCUUUGGUCGGGCGAGACCAUCUUUUUCCAGGUUUACUCUGAGCGUUUCCUUUCCCUCUUUUGGGAUAAAUAACGCACGGUGGCGGCUCUGUGUUGUUUUUGUUUUAGCCCGCCGGUUGUUUUUCGCGGAUGCGACAACUGGGUCAUCAUUAAAUGUGUUGUCAAAGUCCACUCUUGCAAAAUUGUCGUAUCAAGGGCCUCCCAUGAGGCAGAGUAGAAUGGUGGUGAAAGCUUUCGAUGGGUCUCGUAAAACUGUGAUUGGAGAGGUUGAGCUCCCAGUUAAGAUUGGACCAAGUGAUUUCCAGAUCACCUUCCAGGUCAUGGACAUUCACCCAUCGUAUAGCUGUCUUUUGGUCAGACCAUGGAUUCACGAGGCAGGCGCCGUGACAUCCACCCUACACCAGAAAUUGAUGUUUGUCAAAAACAAGAAGCUGGUGGUGGUAGGGGGAGAAAAGGCUCUCCUAGUUAGCCAUUUGUCUUCCUUCUCUUAUAUAGACGCUGAGGAUGAAGUUGGAACUCCGUUCCAAGCUUUAUCUAUCGCUGAACCUAUUAAGAAGGGAACUUCUUCGUUUGCGUCCUAUAAAGAUGCAAAGUUGGCCAUUGAGCAUGGUACAACUAAUGGAUUAGGGUAAAUGAUUAAGCUGGAAGACAACAAAUCCCGGGCUGGCAUAGGGUAUUCUUCUGGUGUGUUCAACAAGCAAGGGCUAUUCAAGAGUGGUGGAUUCAUCCACACCGGUCAAGAUGAGGAAGUUGUUACCAUUUUGGAAGAGGAUACAAAGGAUUCUGGCAACUUCAUCAUCCCUGGAGGGGUCUGCAAUAAUUGGGUCGCUGUUGAUGUUCCAACAGUUACCCAUAAGUCAAAGUAAUGUUCAUUGUGUUUAAAAAACCCUCCUCCCAUGCCAAAAGAAGGAGUGAUGACAUUGUUGGCUCAUAAAUACAAUGAUAUUUCAUUCAAUAAAUUCAUGUUAAAUGUUUGUUUUUCCAUUUAUUUUCACUUUUCGCUUUUUGCAUGAAAUUGGUGAUCAUAUAAAACCUUAAAAAUAGAAUAAAAUCAAUCUUUUCAUCUGCAUAAUGAUUUGCUUUGUUUGAAUCCUAAAAUCUCUUUUAUAUUCAAAAUCAUUAUGCAAGUUGAUCAAACCCAUUGAACAUAAUGAUCCAACACCAUCUCCCAAUUUUGAAUUCCCUGUAUUUGAGGCAGAAGAAGAUGAUGUUGAAGAGAUUCCUGACGAGAUUACCCGGCUACUUGAGCAUGAAGAGAAGAUCAUUCAACUGCAUCUUGAGAAUCUGGAAACAGUCAACUUGGGGUCUGAAGAUUGUGUUAGAGAAGUGAAGAUUGGGGCACUCCUUGAAGAAUCUGUCAAGAAGGGGUUGAUUGAGUUGCUACGAGAAUAUGUCGACGUCUUUGCCUGGUCAUAUAAAGACAUGCCUGGUCUGGAUACUGAUAUCGUGCAACAUUUCUUGCCUUUGAAGCCUGAGUGCGUGCCUGUGAAGCAGAAGCUCAGAAGAACUCAUCCCGGUAUGGCAAUGUAGAUCAAAGAGGAAGUUCAGAAGCAAAUUGAUGCGGGGUUUCUGGUGACUUCUACAUAUCCUCAAUGGGUGGCCAAUAUUGUGCCCGUGCCUAAGAAGGAUGAAAAGUCUGAAUGUGUGUAGACUAUAGAGACUUGAAUAAAUCUAGUCUGAAAGAUGAUUUCCCUCUACUACAUAUUGAUAUGCUGGUAGAUAAUACAGCUAAAUUCAAUGUCUUCUCGUUUAUGGACGGAUUUUCCGGAUAUAAUCAGGUCAAAAUGGCACCUAAGGAUAUGGAGAAGACAACAUUCAUCAGACCUUGGGGAACAUUCUGUUAUCGAGUGAUGCCCUUCGGUUUGAAGAACGCCAGAGCCACGUAUCGACGAGCUAUGACUACUUUGUUUCAUGAUAUGAUGCACAAGGAGAUCGAGGUAUAUGUUGAUGAUAUGAUUGCAAAGUCAAGAACGGAAGGUGAGCAUGUAGAGCACUUAUUAAAGCUUUUCCAGCGUUUGAGGAAGUAUAAGCUUCGUCUGAAUCCUAACAAGUGUACAUUCGGAGUCCGUUCUGGCAUGUUAUUGGGCUUCAUUGUCAGUGAAAGAGGUAUUGAGGUUGAUCCUGCAAAGGUCAAAGCAAUACAAGAGAUGCCUGCGCCCAAAACUGAGAAGCAUCAGGCUCCAAAAGAACCGGCGAACUUAAUAAUUUCCAGAUUCAUAUCCCACAUGACUGCCACAUAUGCGCCGAUAUUCAAGCUCCUCCGGAAAGAUCAGUCUCAUGAUUGGACCGAGGAUUGCCAAAAGGCCUUUGACAGUAUUAAAGAGUAUUUGUCUGAGCCUCCGAUUCUGUCUCCGCCCGUGGAAGGGAGACCGUUGAUUAUGUAUCUGACAUUUCUUUGAAGACUCAAUGGGUUGUGUCCUUGGUCAGCAAGACGAAUCAGGGAAGAAAGAGUAUGAUAUCUACUACCUGAGUAAGAAGUUCACCGAAUGUGAGUCGCAAUAUUCGAUGCUUGAGAAAACAUGUUGUGCUUUGGCUUGGGCUGCUAAGCGCUUACGCCAGUAUAUGUUAAAUCGUACGACUUGGUUGAUAUCCAAAAUGGAUCCAAUCAAGUACAUCUUUGAGAAGCCUGCUUUAACCGGGAGGAUUGCCCGUUGGCAGAUGUUGUUAUCUGAGUAUGAUAUUGAGUAUCGAGCUCAAAAGGCUAUAAAAGGUAGUAUCUUGGCUGACCACUUGGCACAUCAACCAAUUGAGGAUUAUCAAUGUUGUUAUCUGAGUAUGAUAUUGAGUAUCGAGCUCAAAAGGCUAUAAAAGGUAGUAUCUUGGCUGACCACUUGGCACAUCAACCAAUUGAGGAUUAUCAGUCAGUUCAGUAUGACUUCCCAGAUGAAGAGAUUCUGUAUUUGAAAAUGAAAGAUUGCGAUGAGCCUACGUUUGAUGAAGGGCCAGAGCCCGGUUCCAGAUGGAGCAUGGUGUUUGAUGGCGCUGUAAAUCAAUAUGGAAAUGGUAUUGGAGAAGUAAUUAUUACUCCUCAGGGCACGCAUUUUCCUUUUACAACAAGACUAACUUUCAAAUGCACGAAUAAUAUGGCUGAGUAUGAGGCCUGUAUUAUGGGAUUGGAAGAAUGUAUUGAUCUUAGGAUCAAACAUCUCGAUGUUUAUGGUGAUUCGGCCCUUGUUGUUAAUCAGAUUAAGGGUGAAUGGGAGACGAAUCAGCCUGGCCUCAUCCUAUAUAGAGACUAUGCGAGGAGGAUUUCAACGUUCUUUACUGAAGUUGACUUCCAUCAUAUUCCUCGAGAUGAGAAUCGGAUGGCAGAUGCUCUUGCUAAACUUGCUUCGAUGAUUGUGGUAAGACUUUGGAAUGAAAUGCCCAAUAUCACUGUGAUGCGUUUGGACAGACCAACUCAUGUAUUUGCAGUAGAGGAGGUGCAAGAUGACAAGCCAUGGUAUCAUGAUAUCAAGUGUUUUCUUCAGAGCCAGAUUUACCCGCUUGGGGCAUCUGUGAAAGAUAGAAAGACUUUGAGGUGAUUGUCAGGCAGUUUCUACCUCAAUGGCGAUGUGCUUUAUAAGCGGAACUUUGACAUGGUUCUGCUUAGAUGCGUGGAUAGACACGAAGCAGAUCUGUUAAUGACUGAGGUCCAUGAGGGUUUGUAACAGCCCAAACUGCUUUCAGGAUUAUCGACUAACCCCACAAACCAACACGGGUCUUUUCGGCAUGUUUUGUCCUCACUCACACACUUUCCGGGAAACUUCCCAGAAGGUCACCCAUCCCAAUAACACUCAGAGUCAAAGCACUGAUUAACUAUGGAGUUCUUAUCUAUUGGGCUACCGAAAGAAGAUGCAUCUUGUGGUAUAGGUAGUACCAAUAAUCCUGAUAAGCCUUCAUUUCAACCAUGCAGUCCCAUAUCCUGCAUAGUCUUAAGGAUCCCUCUCUAUUCCGAUGUGCAAUCGGUUUUCUCCCCUCGAAGCUGCUAGGAGUGUCUCAUUGGUCAUUGCCCCAUGAUAAACAACCACUGUCCCAUCGCCCUCGGGUGUCAUCACUGUAACCACUCUUCGGCUCUCAACCUCAAAGUGUUAAUGCUUAACUUGCGGAGUUUUCUGGAUGUGGAACUGUCGGAGAGGCCGAAGAGUGGUUACAUGUGACACCCGAGGGCGAGUGGAGUGGUUGUUUAUGCAUGAGGCAUGACAAUGAGCACACUCCUAGCAGCUUCUAGGGGAACACGAAUUCACCAUCUGGAAUGAGAGGAUCCUGAGCUAUGCAGGUAAUGGGACUGCAUGGUUGAGUGAAGGCUUAUACAGGAUUAAUUGGUACUACUAACCAACAGAGAUGCAUCUUCUUUUCGGUAAGUAGCCCAAUAUGAUUAAGAACUCCAUAGUUAAUCGUGCUUGACUUGGAAGUAGUAUUGGAGUGGGUGACCUCUGGAGAAGUUUCCCGGAAAGUGUGUGAGUGAGGACAAAACAAUGCCGAAAAGACUCGGUGUUGGGUUUGUGGGUCCAGUCGGUAAUCCUGAACAGCGGUUGGGUGUUACAAAUGGUAUCAGAGCCAACCUCUCCAGUACGAAUGUGGUUCGGGGGCGAACCAAAGCGGAAGUGGGUGGGCAGUAACACCGAGCGGAGAGGCCGAAGAGUGGUUACAUGUGACACCUCAGGCGAGGGGAAGUGGUUGUUUUUAGCAUGAGGCAUGACAAUGAAGACACUCCUCGCUAGCUUCUUAGGGAAAAACCGAAUUCACAUCGGAAUGAGAAUGGGAUCCUGAGGCUAUGCGGUAUGGAAGACUGCAUGGUUGAGUGAAGGCCUUAUAAGGAUAAUUGGUAGCUACCUAUACCACAGAUGCUCUCUUUUCGUGAGCCCAAUAGAUUAAGAACUCCAUAGUUAAUCGUGCUUGACUUGAGUAGUAUUGGAUGGUGCACCUUCUGGAAGCAGGCUACUAUUGCUGACAAUGGAGUCUGAUUGCUGGCAAAUAAUGUGAAGUCAUGCCCACAAGUGUCAGUUUAUGCGGAUAAUGAUUCAUAUUCCCCCGACACUUCUGAAUGUGGAUUCAUCACCAUGACCUUUCUCUAUGUGGGGAAUUGGACCAGUGAUUGGCAAGAUAUGAGCCGAAAGCGUCCAACGUCACGAUUUAGUUUGUAGAAUUGAUUACUUCCCAAGUGGGUUGAAGCGGCGUCAAUAUGCAAAUGUGACCAGGCAGGUGGUUGUGAAGUUUAUCAAGAAUGAACCAUAUGCCGUUAUGGUUGUGCCGGAUAAGAUCAUAUGACAAAUGGAUCAACUUGAAACAAUAAGAUGAUUGAAAGAGCUAUGUUAGUGACUCCAGAUUGGCACCAUCAUAAUUCUUCUCCUUUAUAGACCCAGAAGAUGAAAUGGGGGCUGUGAUAUGCCUGUUCUAUAUGAGUAAUAUAAAAAGAUUAUCCAGAAAUGGUUGUUAACGUACAAAGAUGGCAUAGAUGCUGCCAUUUGCCCUUGCAUGGGUAAUCGUGACAUCUGUCCGCACUUCAACAGGUGGCAAACCCCUUUCUCUCUUGUUUGUAACGGCAUGGAGGUUGUGCCCCAGUAGACGGGUGGAAGAAUCCAUCAAUGAGAGUCUUGAUGAAAAGCCCAAGUUGAUUGAAUGCUGAAUGGGUCGCAGAGUCAUUAUGACAAUGAAUUUGAUAGAAUGACAAGAGAUUGACUGCCAUGUGCCAGGUCAGUUAUAUCAAUAGAGGAUGAAUAAGCCUUUGAUGACGAAGGUUAAACCUCGUGUGUUCCGGAAGGAAAGCUUGUGCUCAAUGAAAGUCUGUCUUUCGCUGCCCAUUCUUGGGGCAAGUGGAUCCAAAACUAUGAGGUCCAUAUGUUGUAGAAGAGCCUUUCAAGGCGGUGCUUAUUGAUACUUACAACUUAUGAUGGGGAGGAUUUCACUCGUCCUGUGAAUUCAGAUGCAGUCAAGAAAUACUUCGCCUAAAAUAAAAACAGAAUAGCUCGCUAAGUUGAAAACCCGAAAGGGCGGCUUAGGCAAAAAUGAGCGUCUGGGUGGAUUGAAAACCCGAAAGGGAGAUCCAGGCAAAAGUUAGAGACAUAAAAAAAUAAAUUUGUAUCCCGCUAGAUUGAGAACCUCACCCUGGGGCAAUCUAGGCAAAAAUUAGGGAUUUGGCAAGUAAUUGCAUCCUAACAAGACUUUGUUCUACAAACUGUCAUCUGUAAGAGGUUCUCGCUCAGUCAUCGUCAACCGAAGCUUCAAAUACAUCCGAUUCAGAGUUGGUGGAGAAAUGGUCAUUAUGUUCAAUGUAGCCCUUUUCCAAUAUAUAUCACCAAUUUCAAAUUUGUAAAGAUCUAUGGAGUCUCGCCAUUUGCAAAUUACCAUUCCAUCAAAUAAAUUUGAGCCUUUAUCCAAUUAUUUUGCACUCUUAUUUGUUUCUAUUCAACAAAUGUUUUGCAUGUUUUAAUUGAGAAAUAUCGUUGUUUUAAACAAAUAAAUUUUUCAUAACUUGUUUUUAAACAAAGUGAACAUUCACAAUGAUGAAAGGAUACUUGGGAUGUCUUUAGUGCUCUCCCAAAGAUGGUAUGAUUCCCAACAGGGUAAGACAUUUGUUCAUACUCCUGGCAUGACGGUAUCCUUUCCUCCAGAACCUUUGUGGUUUUUUCCUCUCGAGCAGAGUGGUUGAUGAAGAAGUUUAUCUUCCUUUAGCGGAGUAAUGAUCCUUCCUCCUCGGUAGAUGUGAUUUCGUCAGUAGUGGUGACCCUGGAGACUUCUGAUUGGUGGUUGUUUCCCACAGAGUUCCAUUAUCUCCUUUGAUAAUUUCCCCAGUAGAUUUGCUUCCACGGUGGAUUUUAUCUCCAUGUUGAUCUUGUCCCCGACUGGGAUGACUGAUGCUCAUUCCCCUGCAGAGAUCUUUGUUUCCUGGUAUCUCUGGUCCCCAUCAGAUAGGAUAUUCUCCAGUGGGCCUGGUUUUCUCUCUCGAGAUGUAGUACCGGAUGUUUAAUUUUUGUGGACCUGUUUGUGUUAGAUAUGUCUGUUUUGUUAGCAUGCAUCAUACAUAAACCACGCAUAUAUGCAUAAUUUUGACAUUCAAAUAUUCAUGUCGCAUUGUUUGCCAUAAAUACCUUUGUUUGUUGUCCCCUGCUAUUCGGUGAUAUAUAUUUCACUAAGCAGAUGUUUGUGUCUGAUCUCCCCAUGUAGAGUCAGCCCCAUAAGCAGAAAGCGUAUAUCCUUUCUUCCAUACUCCCCACUGAGUUAUGUCCUCGUGGAUGAUUGUUACUUCUGUUCCUCCCAACACAUAUAUUGGGAUGGAGUUUCCCCUGAGUUAUAUCCUCAUAGGGACGAGUCUUGUUUCAUCGUGUCUCUCUAGUUUGUUCCUAGAUUGGCUUCUCUUGAUUUUUCCUGCACUUCCCCGUAGUUUAGAUGAAUGAUUGCUCAGUAGCCAACAAUUAUCCAUCUUUUCCCCGACGGAGUCUGUGGUUUUCUACCCUCAUACCGGUAGUUGUAAACCCUAUUUCUAUCCCUUUGCAGAGUUAGCCUUGUUUUUGUUCAUCCUAACCGAUGACGGUUACUCUCCCAUGGUUUUCUACCCAGUAUCCGGUAGAUGUAAUCCCCUCCUUGACGGUUAUAUUUAUCCAAUACUCGGUAUUGAUAGUCCUUCACCCUUUUUGAGUAUAUCGCCCAGUAACCGGUGAUAUAUCUCCCGGAUCAUUGCCUUUGUCAAUGUAUCCCCAACGGGUCAUCUUUCAUUUACCGAUUGUCGAUAAUGAUCCUUUCUCCCUUUGAUGUGGUCAUCAUUUUAUACCUAGUUUUAGGUAUCCCGAUGCUCUUGUCCUUCGGUCGAUUCAUCCUUCAUUAACCCAGUAACCGGUUAUGGAUAAUCUUCCAUGCGAGUAUGUUAUCUACGUUCUGACGGUAAUAGAUAAUAUAUCUCAUGCGCUCUUUGGUCGAAGUCUUUUGCUCUUCCCUAGUCGAGUAAGAUUCGUAUCCCCUUUGGUGGAAUCGAAUGCCCAUCCUGUAAUCGAGUUUGCUUUUAGCUCUCUUUUGGAGAUGAGUGUCUUGGAAAUAUUCCCCAAUUCACGCUUGGUCGGUCACCUAUUAUAUGCCCAGUAACCGGUAUCCCUGGGGUUCCUUCCUCUCUGCUCCCUAUUAUGACUUUUUGUCCCCUGUGGAGUCAGUUUUUCUUGAGUUGAAAUAUACCUUUUAGGUCUUCCUCAGAUGAUUUUGGAUGUUUGAUAUCUCUCACCCUUAUACCGGUCUUAGAUAUUCAUUCUCCCCGAGCAAGUUAUUCUUUCACCCUCAUACCGGUGUUUCGACCACAUGUCUCCUUGAGCAUAUUACCCAGUAACCGGUAAUACCUCGCCCUGGUGUUUCCCCAGAGGAGUCCUGUUUGGACAUUCCCUAGUGGAGUCCCUUAGUGGAUUUUCACCAUCUGAGUCCGGAUUUUCAUCCGAAGUAUCCUUUGUGGAUAGUUCCGUUGUAUUGGCAUAUUCCCCAAUACAUGCAUCUUUGAGUCAACUCGAGUCCUUCCAUUGAUUUAUUUUCAUGGAAUCCCUCUCGUGUCUCUCAGCAAAUCUCAAGUCGUGACCUGCUCACGCAUGUUAUUCCCUUACUUAUCCCCAUUAGAGUCCCCAGAGUCUCUGUCCCAUUGAGUGUAUUACUCAUAUGGAUUGUCAGUCUCUCCUGAUUUCUUUUAUUCUUUGUGGACACAUAUCUCCACAGAAUACUACUUUUUGCAUACAUACAUUCGCAUCAUGAGGUCUCUUAGGGACCAAAAUUCGUCUCUUUGUUAUUAUUUAAGCCCAUUCUACCUCGUCGAGACGAAGAUUUUAACAUUCACUUCUCCGGCUAGAAUGACCUUAAAUAGGGGCAUCUGUAAGACCCUAAUUUUGACCCUAAGAUCCCUCAUGGCAUCAUAACAUUGCAUUUGCAUCAUAGCCUCAAGGAUAAUAAGCAUCUUGGUUCCUUUUGCCUUUGGGUGGGAUCUCUUGAGAUUUGGUUUGAGAUCACCAAGCAUGCUUGAAUUGUAUAUAAAUGCUUUUCUCAUUUUAUUUACUAACCAAAGGCACAAAAAUAUGUCACUAACAUCUUUUGUUUGUAGCUUGAGCAGUCAUAAGGUCUAAAGCUUCUAGGAGAUCCUAUGUGCAUUUAUAUGGUUAAGAGAAGGUGAAAGUAAGCAUGGCAAUGGUUCCUAAAGAUAUCAUCCAUCAAAUAUGCCUUCCAAUUAUCUCAAUUCAUCAUUUUGAUCAAAGCAAAUCAAGGGGCUUGAGGCUUGUUUCCCAAGGAAACCCUAAUUCAUGUGUUCAUCAACUAUGCCUUGCUCAUGAAGCAACCUCAGCCCAUGAUCAAAUGCAAUCAAGGGAAAUUAUUUAAUUCAUCAUUUCAUGCAUAUUUGAACUUAUUUGAGUGUCCUCAAUCAUCAACUCAUCAAGAUAUGAGUUUUGGACUUGAGAAGUUGAUCAGUCAAUUCAUCUGACCAUUUUGAAAUGCACUGAGACCUAAAGUUUUAUGUGUUUGUCAAAUGGAGAUGACCCCAAGAAAAACAAUGUUAUUAAGGACUAUAUGAACAACUUUCAUGUUCAUCAAAAAUUUAUUUGAAGCUUGGAAGGUUAUCAUCCAUUCCAAGACAUUAUAGGUCAUUUUGACUAAAACCCUAAUUUUGGGUCAACUUCCCAAGGACAUAACUCCUUCAUUUUUCAUGAUUUUGAGGUGAGAUCUAAUGCAUUGGAAAUCUUAAGAUGUAUACUUCAAAUGUUAUGUUGAGAGAAAUUGCAAAACCUCAAAAGAAAUACAUGUGAUAAUGCAAAACAUUAUAGGUCACUUUUGACCAAAUGCAUUGAAAUAUGAAAAAGUCCAACUUCAAGUGUCCAUAACUUCUUCAUCAAAAAUCCAAAUGAUACAAAUUUUAAGUCCAAAUUGAUUUCCUUGAAAAUAUCUACAACUUUCUUGUUGAAGAUUUUAUCAUUUGGAGUUUUCAUCAUUGAGACAGAAGGGCUUGAACAUUGGCCAAUUUUGAAAAAUUCACAUAUGCAUGUUUUGCACCCUACACUUCAAGUUCCAUUUUCAUUAAUUUCCAAGGCCCAAAUAGAGUUUUGAUCAACAUAACAUUUGUUCCUUAUGCAGUAAGCUUUCCAACCAUUACCCAUAAGGCUAUGUUUCAAUUUUGGAAGUAUCAUUUUCGAAGAGGGGAACUUUUUAGUGCAUUUUUGGAAACUUGAUUCAAUUGCCAUGCAUGAUCCAAAUACAUCUCAUCCAACCAUUACCCAUAAGGCUAUGUUUCAAUUUUGGAAGUAUCAUUUUCGAAGAGGGGAACUUUUUAGUGCAUUUUUGGAAACUUGAUUCAAUUGCCAUGCAUGAUCCAAAUACAUCUCAUCUGCACGUCCAAAACAUAUUUGGUGAUGUUUAUCUUGCCAUUCCAAUCAGAAUUGGGCCCUCCAUGCGCCUGUACAGGCCCAUGCAUGGAGGGCCUUUUCAUCCAUGCACACACUUUGCUCAUGGUUGCAGCUCCCUUCAUCUAUAAAUACAAGGCCUUGGCUUCAUAAUUGGACAACCUGAAGGCACCUGUUAUGCUGCACGAAUCCCUCCAUGGCCAUACUUAAAGGAACUUUCUCUUUUUCUUCAAAUUUUCAGAUCUAAAUUUCAGCUACACUGGUUGAUUUCUAGACCUAUAGUUCCUAAACCUUGCUCAUCUUCAUCACUAGACUACACUGCAAGCAUUAGCAAAGGAGAAUUGUGCUCUCAAGAUCCACAUUUCAAAGAUGGAUAUCAGAACUUAUUUUCUUCGAAACUCUUUAUUCAUAGCUUAUUUCUUGCAUUUGCUGGGUUGUCUGGAGUCCUCUCAAUAGAGGCAAUUGUGUUUGUGCUUUGAAUUUUGCAAAUCCAUCAAGUUUCAGUUGAACACCAUAUUUUUCAACCUCUGAUUUCUCUCUCCAUGAAAGUCUAGAGUGAAAAUAGAUGGUACAGGGGUGAUGUACAUCACCCCAGCUUUCCAUUGUUGUAUAGAUCGCCUCAUUUGGUGAAGGUUUAUUUUCUGCAACUCUCGCCGGAAUCUCUGGUCUCGCUAGAGAAGAUGGUGGUGUACACCACCGUCCGUUUGCCAGUUUUGAUCCAGGUCGUUGAUGAUGAUUCCCAGAUUGAAUCAGGGCUCUUGGAUCUUAUGACUUUUUUUAAAUGUUUAUGUUGCUUAGUUGACUUAGGUCCAUGAUACGCGCGCAUGCCAUAGCCGUCUGAUCUGCCAGGUCAAUUAAUGAAUUGAAUCCAACGCGUGUGGUUUUUCCUCAUUUUCUAUUUCUGAUUUUAAUUUCCAUUUUAUUUCUUUUAUUCCAUUUCAUUUCAAAAAAUCAUAUCUCAUUCAUUAUUGAUCCAAAAAAUGUGAGACCAAUUGCAUUAUUUCUCUUUUAAUUUCUAGCUUCUAAAAAUGAUUUUUAAUAUUUUUUAUUUUAUCAUUUGAUAUUUUUCAUGAAUUUUCUCUUUUCUGGUUAUUUUUAAUUCAUUUUAAAUAGUUUUUGAUAUUAAAAAAAUACAAAAAUAUUUUUCCAACCUCUUUGAAUAAUGAUAGAUCUAUGAAAAAUAUUCUCAUCAAUUUAUUAAUUGAUUUGAGAUUUAUUUGAGAUUUUAGUUCAAUUAGGUUAUUUUUAUGCAUUUUUAAUUGAUCUAAAAUAGUUUCUGACUUUUAAAAAUGCUGAAAUUUUUUGUCAAACUUUGUUUGACCAUGUUGAACUUGGGAUAAUUCACUUGGACUUUUCAAAGUUGAUUUGAAGUGAGUUUGGAAGUUUUGACCUUUCUUUAUUAUUUUAAUUCAAGUUUUAUUUAAAUAUUAAAAAAUGCCAAAAAUAUUUUAUUUGUUUCUUGACUUCUAAUUCUCAUUUUGCUUCUGUUUUCUAUUAUUUGACCCUCAUCUUCUCUAUCUUUGGUCAAUGCUUGUUGAUUAGUACAUACCAUUUCCAUUAAUGCACUUUAAUUCUUCAUUUUCUUCUUUUUCUUCUUCUUUUUCUUUUUUGGAUCAAUGAGUUAAAGAUUGGUGGUUAGCAUUGAUUAGGGGGGUUUAAUCUUCCUUGAUUCAAAUCUAAUUCAUCUUGAUCAUGGAUCAAGUGAAUGGCUUUGCAUUAAGGAUAGAUUGCUUCCUAAAUCAUGCAAAGAACCUAAAUCAAUACAAGAUUAUUUCUCAUCUUCUUUUUGGCAUGGUAAGUUGUUGGAGUUUGAUUCACUAAUCAAGACCUCUAACUUGUGUCAUUGCCUACAUUAUUAUUGACCGGCCUCAGAUAGUUGUGACUUCUACAUAAGUCCAAUUACGAUUGCUUAACAUAGCGCUUUUAAACGGAAUACCGUGUGAUUGAUGAUUGUAAUUGGUAAUUGGUAUAACAUUUAAUUCUUGCUCUUUACAUUUAUGCAAUUUACUAUUCUUGUACAUAUUAUUCAUUUGCUUUUUCCUUUGCUCAUUUGAGCACAUGCUUAUGUUAAUGCAAUUUGCCUUUUGCUCACUUGAGCAUAUAAUUGUGUAUAUAUUAUUGUGCUUGUGUUUUGUUUAAUUGUUGUGGACCAAAUGCAAAGAAAUGGAUAAAUGGACUUAGUUUCUAGGACAUUCCCUAUGCAAAUUGGAGUAAAAGGAUCUUAAUGUUGAAGAUGGAUUUGAAGGACCAAACCUCUAAACUCACUCUUGUCCAUUCUUGAUUUGCUUCAUAAGACUCUUUGAUGUGUGUGUGCUUUUGUGCUAGGGGAUCCAACGAGAUAUCAAAUUGAAGAAUCAUUGCCAUGUUCAUCCAAAUUGAAAGAUACAAAAGGCAUUAGGGAUCUUCUAAGAGCUUGUUUGAUUAUGUUGAUUGCUUGAGCUUACUAUUAUUUUGCUUGCAUAUUCCAAAGGAUGUGAGCUACUUGGAUCAUCAAUAUGAUCACAAAAGAGGAACUCCAUUUGUGGUCUUGUUUCUUAUCCCUUAUCUCUUGUAUGACUAGGACUUUAGGCAUUCUUCUCCUUCCCUCCAUUAUAACCCAAGCCAAAACUUUUGUGCAAACAUUUAACACCUCUUUCUACACAUUAUAAACAUAAGCCUUAUGCUUUGGAUUUUCAAACUUCCUUUUCAUAACACUUAUUUUGAAUUGAAUCUUUAAGUCAACUUUGACCAUAUUUUGUAAAUACUUUUCAUUAGUAAAUAUAACCCAUUCAAAUACUUUUGUGGUUUCAAUGGCCAUUUCUAAUCAAAACCUUUUCAUAACCUUUAGCUAUUAGGUUUGAGUUAUCCUUGAGGUUGAUGUAAUACUCACCUAUAUCCUUAGUGAUGGACAAUGAGUCUUCCAUGCUUAUUAUAGGGUUAACCCCUCACUUGCAUGGUUGAUCAGUUAUUCUCGGUCACUAUGGUGGACUUGUGUGUGUUAGGUUGAGUUUUUCUCCCUUGGAUAACAAAAGACCUUAAGGCUUUUGGACCAAUCAAUUCACCAACUCAUUUUAAGAUUUUUACCCGAACUACGAGGUUUUGACCUAAUCUUUUUUAGAAUGGUACGCGUAGGCAAUGGGUUAUCCAUCCAAACACAAAAUGUAAAUAACUUGUAUAUUCCUUUCUAUCUCUUCAAUCUGUUGCACAAACAAAAAUUUUCACAAAAUACCAACCUUACAACAAGUUGAAAGGGCUCCCUAGGAGUACCAUCAGCAUGUUUUGGGUGCUUAAAACCAUCCCAUUGCAUAACCAACCCCCUUACCCCGAUCUCUGACAUUUUUACUAGUUUUUGAUUCGAUAAAACUUUUAGGUUUUUGUUCGCUUUCUAACGAUUCCUUUGGAUAAAUAGAAGUGCGGUGACGACUCGACUUGUAUGGUUUACCUUGGAUUUAGUCAAUAUCACUAAUGGUAACGAAUACCCCGCUACACGUACCAACAUAAAAUGAGGGAUCAAAACCUCGUAGUUCGUGAUACAAAAUUCAAAGUGGAUGCAUUGCUUUUAACAAAAUUUAAGUUUGAAAGGCACAAAGGCCUAAAAAAUGAUUUGAAUGAGUUAGUUCUUUUUGGCUUUUUGAAAGUUUAAGUCAAGUAUAAUUAAGUUCAUUUACAAGUUUGAUUAAGAAAAGAAGUUUGAAAAUACAAUGGCAUAAGGCCAAAGUUUCUAGUUUUCAAAAUGGUCAAAGUUUAGAACAAAGUAAGUUCAAUCAAAGAAGAUUUUUAAAAAGGGGAAGAGAUUUUGAAAUUAAAGAAAUGGGGAGAAGAUGAAGAGACUAAUCUUUUGCACAAAAUUAAAAGUUAAGGGUUGAAAAGAUCUGACCAAUGGGUAGCAAUCCAAUAGACAAGAAUGUCAAUAGAAACCCAAAUUCCCUUGAAAAUUUAGAAUCAAGCAACACACAAAUGCACAAUUAUAUCAAUCUCGAAGAGCAAGGCAUCAAAUAAAGAUAGCUACAUCCAAGAUUAGCCACUCCAUGAUCUUCUUCAAAUUAGCCCAUAUAACAGAUGAAUUCCACAAGUCACAGGCUCAAAAUAAAAACUUCACAAUGAUCAUGUAGCAGAUGAACUCAAAGGGAUCUUGGAUGAUGUAUCAGAUGAAGUUUCAAAUUGCAAGCACUUGGUUUCAUAGAAAGUUGACAUUGGCCAAGUCCUUUAGCAUAGGAAGGUUGCCUAAAUUCUAAGUCCAAUUGUUCCAAGAUUAAGUCAACAAUCCACACAAAAGUCUUUUAGGGUUUUUGUUCUUAUUAUGUAUAUUAAUGGUCAAAGACCACACAAACAAACAAAAUAUACACAAAAUAGAUAUAUCACACUAUAUGGUCCAAGUGGACAAAGUGAAAAUUGCAUUAACAUGAACAAUUAGAAUGGCAUAAAUAAUGGCAAACGAAUAGAAAUUAAAAAUUAAAGUGCAUUAAAGAAAAGGACUUGAAAUUAAAUGUGAGUUGUUAAUGAGUUAGAAUUUAGUAUUGUUUUGCUUUUGCUUUUUAUUUGAAGUCAUUCUUUGGAGAACACUCAACCCACUUAUCACAAGCAUGGAUCCUUGAACCAAUACAUCUUCGAAAGGAAGGAAAAAAGGCCAAGUUUCCACACAAUACCAUGAAAGAGGGGAGACUUACAAUCUCACUAACUAGAAUGCUAUGCCUUUUUUUGUCAUAAAUUUAGCACCAUGUUAAGCAAUCGUAAUUGGAUUUAUGUAAAAGUCACAACUAUUUGAGGUCGGGCAAAAGAAUUUUGGUGUUAAUACAUGUGAGAGACAUAGUGUAAUGGACUAUGCUCAUGAAACAUACCACACACAAAAAGAAUAUGCAAAAGGGGUGGCCUAAUCUCAUCCAUACUUAUGUUGAUUUUGCAAUCAACUAGCCUUAGGACUUAGAGAUAUCAUAUGCCAAAUGAGAUGAAUGCAUAAAGAAUGAGAAUGAGAUGAAGAGGGGGGGGGGGGGAAUGGAUCAAAACUCAAAUUGAUCAAAGGAGGACUUUUACCAAAUUAAUAUCAUCCAUUCAUUUUGGGAGAUGGAAUGUACAUUCCACCAACCCCCUAAAUCCAAUGAUAUUAAUUUUAUAAAGUCAAAUCAACCUUGACCAAGGCCCAACAACAAGAGUCAAACUUAUACAAGUCAUCACUAUAGGUCAACACAAUUAAUUGGAAUUUAUUCAAAUUAAAAAUACUAAAAUAAUACAUUUAAAUCAAAUAUGGUUUCUCAAAUUCCUAAAACCUCAUCAAAACACCAAAGAAAUGGCCACGAGAUUUAUCAAAGGUCAAACAAGGUCAAAGGACCUUGGAGAAAAAAUUUCAGAAUUUUUAAAGACUUAAAAGCAUUUUUAAACAAUUAAAAGCAAUCACAAAAUCAAUUAAAUCAUGAAAAAUAUUAAUAAUGAUCCAAAAAAUAAUUUUAAUUCAAAAUAUGAAAGAGGAAAUUAUUUGAAAAGUUUGGUGAAACUCUCAUACUUUUUGGAUCAAUAUUAAAAUUAAUAUGAAUUAAUGAAAAUAAGCUAAUUAAAAUAAAAAUCAGAAAAUAGAAAAAAACGUGGACCACUUGAACUCCCUCAUUAAUUGGGGUGGUAGAUCAAGUGGAUCAGCGUGCGCGUUCCAUCGUGCCCUGCAGUCAACGCGGCAUAGGCUUGGUAUUUAAAACAUUCCAAACUCAUCUAAUGGCUUGAAUAGUUCUAGCUCAUCACCGGAGCCAAAGGUCGGUCAUCUUCUCCGAUGACCAUGGCCGGACUGGUUCAGUCAUCACCAUAUCAUAAAUGACAAAAGAGGACAUGAUCUGAAAGAUAAAAUGGUGUGGAUCACGAAUAUCACCUCAAUUUUAUCUAACUCCACAUAUAUAGAAAGAUAUGAGGAGUUGAAUUUUGAGGUGUGUCAACUGAGUUGCUUCGAUUUGACCUCUAAGCAACUCAAUCUUCUUGCCUACAUUGGUAGGACUUCAGACAACCAAAGAAAGAUAUGAGGAGUUGAAUUUUGAGGUGUGUCAACUGAGUUGCUUCGAUUUGACCUCUAAGCAACUCAAUCUUCUUGCCUACAUUGGUAGGACUUCAGACAACCAAAGAUCCAAGAGAAUUGAGUGAGAAUCGAAGAGAUGAAGUUUUAUGAAAAUCACCUUCAAUGUUGUGCAGAACUUGAUGUUGCUUGCUUUAAACACGAUCUGAUCACACUUUAGAAGUUUGUAGGAAAUGAUUAGCAUGGGUGCAAGGCUUUGGAUCCUGGAGUUUUUGAAUCUCCAACAGUUGAGAUUCAAAAUCAAUUUUCAAAUUGAAAAUUCUCAGGUUUUCCUUUAGAAUGAGAGGGUUUGAAUUGGGGGGCAAAGUUGGCGCGCAAGGUGUCCCUGAAUUGAGCACAUAGGUCAUGUAUUUAUAGCAUGAGGGAGUGAUAUUUGCACACUUGAAAUUUUGUCCAAAUUUAGCUAUGUGAAUGGCACGAGUGCAUGGGCAUGUACAGGCCCAUGAGGCAAUGAAUUAAGGUCCAAAAUCAAUCAUGUUAAAGUCUGUAUGAAGCUUUAAUGGCAAGGCAAGGUGAAAUGAAGUUUGUACAUUUGAUUUCCUCCAAUGAUGCAGCUCUGUUAAAGCCAUGUGCAGCCCUAAGAAACCUCAUCGAAAUGGCAUGAACUUGGGUUCUUUGGAAAGCUUGGAUCAAGGGGAACAAGUUUGAUGUUGAACACUUUUUCAUUUGGAUUCUGGAUCAUGGUGAAUUUUGAGGUGGAAGUUUGGAAAUUUCAACAUGUUGAAAAUUUUCCUAAGUGUAAAGUCAUAUAUCUCAAUAUUCCCCCUUACUUAACUUUUUAUGUAAGCUUCAAAUGAGAAAAGUGUCUUCAUCAACCUUGUCGCUCUUUCAAACACCUUCAAAAUAGUCACCAAUUUCAUGUCAUUUGGAUUUAGAAUGAUAGAGUUAUGCAUUUUUGAAGUUUGGAAAAAUCACUUGUUCAAUGGUAUAGGUCAAAAAUGACCUAUAAUGUAUCCUCAUAUCACAUGCUCAUAAAAAUCACUUGUUCAAUGGUAUAGGUCAAAAAUGACCUAUAAUGUAUCCUCAUAUCACAUGCUCAUAAAAGUUGAAUUAGCUCUCACUCCAAACAUCAAAGUUGAAUUAUACAUCUUGAAUUUGAUUUUACAACUUGAAAAUCAUUAUAGGUCAUUUUGUCUAAACCCUAAUUUGAAAGUCAACUUCCCAAGGCCAUAACUUGCUCCAUUUUUAUGAGAUGAAAGAAUAGAUCUAGGUCUCAACAUAAAAGUUGUUUUUAAUGUCAUUUAGAGUAACAUUUCUCUUGGAAUCAUUUUCAUAUGGUGAAAAUUGUAGGAGAUAGGGUCUAGGGAGACCCAGUUUUGAUCAGAGGAAUUCAUCUGGACAACCACCAUCAACCAACUGGCUAACUAUUAAUUAUCUUGAUUUUAUUGGCUCAUGGUAGAUCAUCUAUGCAUAAUAUUAUGAAUUUUGAAGUUUCCCUUGAAAAAUUUGAUCAAUUGGUUAGAUAUCUUGUUGAAGAAGUUACUCAAGGUACCCAGUCAAACUAGGGUUUCCAAGGCAAGUCACCCUCAAACUCUUGAAGAAAACUUGAUCAAUAUGACAUGUAGAAAUAAUUGGGACUCGUAUAUGAUGCUUAUAACCAUUCUUGGAUCAAUUCAUGGUUGUGGUCUUUGUCAUGAGGGUCUCAAACCCUAGAUAUGAACUUGAUAGAUCAAUGGUGAUCAUGCCCUACCUACAAAAGAGUUAGGCAAAUACAAAGAUAUAUUUUUGGUAUUUUGGUUAGUAAAAAUGAUAAUAUACAAGUAUGAUACAAUCACAUGGUGCUUGGUGAUCUCUCUCCAAACAAACCCAAUGAAAGAGGGGUAAGGAGGAUGCCAAGGUAUGAUCCCAAUGCUAAUGCAUAUGAUGAAAUUGCAUGAGGGAUCUUAGGGUCAAAAUUGGGGUUUUAUAGCUGCCCCUAUUUAAGGAUAUUCUAAUUGAGGAGGCGAAGGUUAAAAUCUUCAUGUCGACUCAGUAGAAUGGGCUUAAAUAACAAAACAGAAACAAAUUUUGGUCCCUAAGAGACCUCAUGAUGCAUAUGAUAUGAAUGUAAAAGUUAAUUCUCUGUGGGGAAAUAUUGCCACAAAGGAAAAGAAAUCAGAGACACCAAAAAUCUGCAGGAGCAUGAUGCAUUCCAUCAGGAAAACUCACUGGGGAGACAAAGACUCUGAGGGGGAAAGGAGUUACGCGUAGGCUAGACUACGACUUACAACUUCUGGGGGACUAGAGGAAUUCCACACAAAAUGGAAAGACUCAGUCGGGGAAACAAAACAUCUGCAGAGGAUACGAGUAGAUCCGGAUAACACUAAAGUACUUGGAUCAUGCAGGAAAAGCGAUUUCACUAAGGAAAUGCACACUCAACUCGACUGGGGAAGAUAAACUUCAACGUGGGAGGAGAAGAAAUUUAUUAUCCACUACCUGUUACUGGGUAAGGAGAUAAUAAAGAUAUGACAGAGAAGACACCUGUCAUCGGUUAGGAUGAACAUAUCAAGGAUGACUCACUGGGGAACCACCAGGAGGGAGCAUUCAUUACCGGUUACUGGGUAAGAAUAGCCUUGCUGAGGAAACUGCAAAAAAAUAGGAUUUACAACUACCAGUUACUGGGAAGAAGACCAAAGGUGAGAGUAUCCGUCAUUGGUUAGGAUGAACAUAUCAAGGAUAAACUCAACAGGAAAGAAAAUUCGUCAUCGGUUAGGAUGAACAUAUCAAGGAUAAACUUGCCUGGGAAUGUCAAGGAGGAUACCCGUCAUCGGUUAAGAUGAACAUAUCAAGGAUAUACCAACUGAACAAAAAGUAGGAAUUACAUCUACCGAAUGCUGGAUAGGAUACCAUCAAAGAGAAAAUAUGUCAUCGGUUAGGAUGAACAUAUCAAGGAUAGACUUUGUGAGGAGAAAAAUAGGAAUUACAUCUAUCAGUUACUGGAUAAAAUACCAAGAGAGAGUAUCCGUCACUGGUUUGAGUGAAUAUAUCAAGGAUAAACUCUGCGGUAGAAAGUAGGAUUUACAACUACCAGUUGCUGGGUAGAAGACCGCAAAGAGAAGGAAAUUCGUCAUUGGUUAAAAUGAUCAUAUCAAGGAUUAACUCUCUGGGGAACAAAAUAGGGAUUACAACUACCUUUUUACUGGGUAGAAUACCAAAAGAUGAGAGUAUCCGUCAUCAGUUAGGAUGAACAUAUCAAGGAUAAACUCACGCAGGGGAAAUAAAGAUAUCUCUCACCGGUUAGGAUGAACAUAUCAAGGAUAUACUUCCUGGGGAAUCAGGAAAAACGAAUCCACUAGGGACUCUACUACUGGAAAAACAGGGAUACUUUUGUCGUGUAUUGGGCAAGAAGUAACAAACUGCAAACUAAGAAGAAUAUUAUCU
rnacentral:lncRNA from 1 species